UUUUUUUGUAGUGGUAGGAUGUUGGAGAGUAGUAAUGCGUAAAGAUAGUACUUGAUAUUUUGCCCCGUGGUAGAUUUGAUCGACCGUAGUACCGCUUUCUUGAUGCGGUAGUACUCAGAUCCAGUGGCAGUUUUGGAUCUGACUCCGCGCAGUACUACCGCGCCUCCCGUGCGGAACUACCUCCGGAGCGGUACUACCGUGACUUGGAGCGGCACUAAUUUUUUAGUUCCGCGCGACCAAGCAGUGCUACCGUUUGUGUCAAAUCUCUCAUGUGGAAAUUAUCAAGUGCGAGUUCUACUUGUUUCCAUGCUUUGUUGUGUUUUUGCACUAAACCUUCUCGCGUAUCUUGCGUGUUUGCUUUGUGGUGUGUGGCUCAGGUGCUUCUGCUCGCCGUUCCAAUCCAAGCUGUGACACGGGCUCCAAGCGUCUGCGCAAUCAAGAUGAAGCUCCUGAGGGCUCUAGUGCCCCCCAACAUAGGACCAAGACCACCGCCACAAAGGACAACGAACCCAACAUGGGUAUGGAUGAGAUACCACUUGCUGAGUUCGUCUCUCGACGGAAGAUCAAUCCCUAUGUGAAUCCUCGUGCCAACUUUCGAGGGAAUGAGUUGUUCUGAACCAAGCAGCAGAAUCUCAUUUAUCUGGAUGUAAUCAAGUCCAAGCGUAACAUCUAUGUGGAUGUGCACUGGAUCAACAUGCAUCACAUGAGGGAAGAGAAGUACCGGGACUACUUCGGUGAGGCUCUAGAUCUUAUUGAGCAGUUUGGCAUUGAGCAUAUCAUCUCUUUUCACAAAGACUAUGAUCCUGAGAUUGUGGCUCAGUUCUUUGCCUCGGUGUACUUUCAUCCUAAUGAGGACCGGACUAUGACUUGGAUGACCAAUGGUCGGCAGCUGACUGCUACAUGGAAGGAGUUCAUGACUUUGCUUGGUGUUCCAGAUGAGGGGCUCGCCACACCCCAAGGUGUUCGUCCUCAUGCCAAUCCAGAGUCAGCCAACAAGAAUAAGCUUCAGCCCUUCUUUGUUGAGAAGAAGCUCUCCAGUGGCAAGUCAUCUUGGGUGCUCAACUCAUUCUUGGACAUCAUAUACCGGAUCUUCCGCAACUCCCUCUUCCCGUGCAUUGGUGACAAGGACAAGGUGCAUGCUUACCUUGUGGACAUGCUGCUCCAGUGUGAGGAAGCGCGCAACUCUCAGACGCUACCACUUGAUAUCUCACAUAUCAUGUGGUGUGAGCUUCGGUUUGUGGUCUUCAACCGCAAGGUCCCCAUCUAUGGACCUUAUCUAUUUCAGUUGAUCUCAGCUACUUGGGAGAAGCUCUACCCUCAGGAUGACUUUGAGGCCCCUGAUUGGAUUCGACAUGAGUCCAUCUGGUUCCGUGUCAAGACUCAGUGGGAUAACACCACUUCUCGUGCUGAGGCAGCGGCUGCCAUGGAUGUGGAUGCAGAUGAAGAUGAGGAGGGGUUAGCAGACAAGGACAACUCUGAGGGUUUCAUCCCUCCCAGCUCUGAACCAUCUUGGGCUAAGAGGCUGAAGAACAAUAUGAAGACCUUAUUCUGCAUGCAGGCAGGCAGUACAAGAAUCACGUUGCCUCCAAGGAGAGUCGCCGCCGCAACAAGAAGAUUAUGAGCCUCUUUGAAGAGGAUGUUUCUGGCGGCUUUGAGGACCGCAUCACUCCAGAGGCCGAGUGGAUCGCAAAACAAGGCUACCAGUGGACUGAUUCUGAGGAGGAUGACGAGGAGACCAUUCCCGCUGCCGAGUCUGAGGAGGAGCUUGCGUCUGAUUACUCCACGUGAGCCACCACUUGUGUUGUAGGUGUCCUCUCUGCCUUUUUGGCAUCUCGAUGCUAAAGGGGGAGAGAGUGUAGGGAUUUGCGAGUCCUGUGUCAUGCGUGUGUUUGCUUUGCUCGCGUUUGUUCUGUUGAACCCUGCUUGCUUUGGUUUAGUUUGCUCGUGAGACUUGGUCUAUCAUAUGGUGUAAGACAUAUGCACCCUAUCGUACCUUACUUGAGCUUAUGUUAUACUGUGCUAGUUAUGUUAUGCUCAUAUUUAUCAUAUUGUCUAGUGUUAGCCUUAUUGUUGCCAAUAUGCCUUGUUUACAAAAUAUAGGGGGAGUGUUGAUCCUAGUAUAAGUGCUGUGCAGUCCAAAGCACUUAUCUAGAUAGCACACAUCUAGGGGGAGCUCGUCUAUAUUUGGAGUUGCGGGGUUUGCAUAUGUUCUAUAUUCUUUCCCUUUGUGCAAAUCCCGUAUUGUCAUCAAUCCACCAAAAAGGGGGAGAUUUAAGGGCAUAUUUAUCCCUAAGGUGUUUUGGUGAUUGAUGACAAUGCUUUUGCGGACUAAUCGUGUGCCUUGAGUUUCUCAGACAAUUCGUCACUAGGCACAAGACAGUUUAGUGCCCCUUGAAGACUAUUGAAGACGGCGUUUUCUACGGUUCUUUUCGGCGGUGUGAGUCGUAGGAAAGCCAUACUAUUAAGAGGGGGUCCGCGUUGGAAAGGUUCGGGUGGAAUCAUCACGUACACAUUUUUAUUCCUUUACACCGCCUUUCCCUCUAUGCUUUGGAGCAUCCUCCGUUUUCUUCAUUUUUGCAAAAAGAAGGAUUCCGAGUGUUGUUGUUCUGAGGCAUGCGGUAGUACUGCUCUUAGGAGCGGUAGUACCACAGGCCCCCGCGUGUACCACCCGCCAUUGCGGUAGUACCGUAUGUGUUCAUGGUAGUACCGCUCUUAAGGAGCGGUAGUACUGUGGCCUCGGACCAGACCCAGCCGCUCGUGCGGCUGUAGAGCCAGAUGUAAUUUUUUUACAUCCGCGCCCUUGCGUGGUAGUACCGCCCCAUGCGCACGGUAGUACCGUGGGUCCUGAUCUAGCAUAGCAACACGAGCGGAAGUAGGGGCGGAUGUAAUUUUUCACAUCCGCUCCGUGCGCGGUAGUACCGCAUGUCAGGUGCGGUAGUACCGUGUCGGAUUUUUGCACAAUUUGAUUUUCAGCAGAAGUAGGCACAGAUGUAUUUUUAUUCAUCCGCGCCCUUCCCAGGCUAGUCCAUUCCAGGCUUGCAGUAGUACCUCAAGGGGGAGCGGUAGUACCACACCAGUGGCAGUACCGCUCUCAGCCCUUGCGGGUCUGGCCUGGACUAACGCCUGCCGUAGCAGCGGUAGUACCGCGGGCCACCGCGGUAGUACCGUGAGCCCUUGCGGUAGUACCGCUUGUCUGGGGCGGUAGUACCGCAAGUCACGGGCUGGCUAAGUGGAUAACGGUUGGACUUGUAUCUUCACUGUAUAAGGGGUGUCUUCUUCCUCUAGUUGACCACCUCUUCCCCCAAAAGCUCCAUUGGUGCUCCAAGCUCCAUUUUCGCCCGAUCUCUCUCCCUAGUCAAUAAAACUUGUUGAUUUGCUCGGGAUUGGUUAAGAAGGCCCCGAUCCACACUUCGACAAAGAUAAAUUUGAUUCCCCCACUAAUCCCUAGCGGAUCUUGUUACUCUUGGGUGUUUGAGCACCCUAGACAGUUGAGGUCACCGCGGAGCCAUAGUCCAUUGUGGUGAAGCUUCGUGGUGUCGUUGGGAGCCUCAAAUUAAGUUAUGGAGAUAGCCCCAACCAUGUUUGUAAAGGUUCAGUCACCGUCUUCAAGGGCACCAAUAGUGGAAUCAUGGCAUCUCACAUUGUGUGAGGGCGUGAGGAGAAUACUAUGGCCCUAGUGGCUUCUUGGGGAGCAUUGUGCCUCCACACCGCUCUAACGGAGACCUACUUCCCCUCAAAAGGAAGGAACUUCGGUAACACAUCCUCGUCUCCAACGGCUCCACUCUUGGUUAUCUCGUGCCUUUACUUGUGCAAGCUUUUUUUGUGUUGUAUCCCUUGCUUGCUUGUUGAUACGUCCAUUUAGCAUCAUGCUUUUAUAUCAAUAUUUAUUGCAUUAUGGGCUGUUAUUACACAUUAUAUCUCAAUACUUAUGGCUAUUCUCUCUUAUUUUACAAGGUUUACCAUGAAGAGGGGGAAUGCCGGCAGCUGGAAUUCUGGCUGGAAAAGGAGCAAACAUUGGAAACCUAUUCUGCAUAGCUCCAAAAGUCCUGAAACUCCACGAAACAACUUUUUGGAAUUAAUAAGAAUUUCUAAGCGAAAGAAAUACACCAGGGGGACCACACCCUGUCCAGGAGACAGGGCCCCCCCCUAUAGGGCGCGCCCCCUAUCACCUGGGCCCCCUGGUGGGCCUCCGGUGUCCAUCUUCUGCAAUACCAUCGCUUUUACCCUGGAAAAAAUCAUGGGCAAGCUUACGGGACGAAACUCCGCCGCCACGAGGCGGAACCUUGGCGGAACCAAUCUAGGGCUCUAGCGGAGCUGUUCUGCCGGGGACACUUCCCUUCGGAAGGGGGAAAUCAACACCAACGUCAUCACCAACGAUCCUCUCAUCGGGAGGAGGUCAAUCUCUCCAUCAACAUCUUCACCAGCACCAUCUCCUCUCAAAACCCUAGUUCAUCUCUUGUAUCCAGUCUUGUAUCAAAACCACAAAUUGGUACCUGUGGGUUGCCAGUAGUGUUGAUUACUCCUUGUAGUUGAUACUAAUUGGUUUACUUGGUGGAAGAUCAUAUGUUCAGAUCCUUUAUGCAUAUUAUUACUCCUCUGAUUAUGAACAUGAAUAUGCUUUGUGAGUAGUUACCUUUGUUCCUGAGGACAUGGGUGACUUCUUGCUAUUAGUAGUCAUGUGAGUUUGGUAUUCGUUCGAUAUUUUGAUGAGAUGUAUGUUGUCUUUUCCUCUAGUGGUGUUAUGUGAACGUCGACUACAUGACACUUCACCAUGAUUUGGGCCUAGAGGAAGGCCUGGGGAAGUAAUAAGUAGAUGAUGGGUUUCUAAAGUGACAGAAGCUUAAACCCUAGUUUAUGCGUUGCUUCGUUAGGGGCUGAUAUGGAUCCAAGUGUUUAAUGUUGUGGUUAGGUUUACCUUAAUACUUCUUUUGUAGUUGCGGACGCUUGCAAUAGGGGUUAAUCAUUAGUGGGAUGCUUGUCCAAGUAAGGGCAGUACCCAAGUACCGGUCCACCCACAUAUCAAAUUAUCAAAGUACGAACGCGAAUCAUAUGAACGUGAUGAAAACUAGCUUGACGAUAAUUCCCAUGUGUCCUCGGGAGCUCCUUUCUCAUUAUUAGAAUUUGUCCAGGCUUAUCCUUUGCUACAUAAAGGAUUGGUCCACCUUGCUGCACUUUACUUAUUUUAUUUACUUGUUACUUGUUACCAUUUAUCUUAUCGCAAAACUAUCUAUCACCUACAAUUUCAGUGCUUGCAGAGAAAACCUUACUAAAAACUGCUUAUCAUUUCCUUCUGCUCCUUGUUGGGUUCGACACUCUUACUUAUUGAAAGGACUAUGAUUGAUCCCCUACACUUGUGGGUCAUCAAGACUCUUUUCUGGCACCAUUGUCGGGGAGUGUAGCGCUUUUGGUGAGUGGAACUUGGUAAGGAAACAUUUAUAUAGUGUGCUGAAAUUUUCUGUUACUUGUCACUAUGGAAACUAAUCCUUUGAGGGGCUUGUUUGGGGUAUCUUCACCCCAACCGAAAGAGCAAAGAGUUGCUCCUCAACCUACUGAACUUUAUGAAAAUAUUUAUUUUGAGAUUCCUUCGGGUAUGAUAGAGAAACUGCUAGCUAAUCCAUUUGCAGGAGACGGAACAUUGCAUCCUGAUUUACACCUUAUCUUUGUGGAUGAAGUUUGUGGAUUAUUUAAGCUUGCAAGUAUUCCCGAUGAUGUUGUCAAAAGGAAGGUCUUCCCUUUAUCUUUGAAGGGAGAUGCAUCGACAUGGUAUAGGCUAUGUGAUGAUACAAGAUCUUGGAAUUAUAAGCGAUUGAAGUUGGAAUUUCACCAGAAGUUCUAUCCUAUGCAUCUUGUUCAUCGUGAUCGUAAUUACAUAUAUAAUUUCUGGCCUCGUGAAGGAGAAAGCAUCUCUCAAGCUUGGGGGAGGCUUAAGUCAAUGUUAUAUUAAUGCCCCAAUCAUGAGCUCUCUCGGCAAAUGAUUAUUCAGAACUUUUAUGCUCGGCUUUCUCUUGAUAAUCGCAACCUGCUCGAUACUUCCUGUGCUGGUUCUUAUAUGCUGAAGACUAUUGAUUUUAAAUGGGACUUAUUGGAAAGAAUUAAACGCAACUCUGAAGACUGGGGUUCCGACGAUGGUAAAGAGUCAGGUAUGACACCUAAGUUCGAUUGUGUUAAAUAUUUUAUGGAUACCGAUGCUUUUCGUGGAUUUAGCGCUAAGUAUGGACUUGACUCUAAGAUAGUAGCUACUUUCUGUGAAUCUUUUGCUACUCACAUUGAUCUCCCUAAAGAGAAGUGGUUUAAAUAUAAUCCUCCUGUUGAAGUGAAAGUAGUUGCACCUAUUACAGUCGAAGAAAAGACUAUUACCUAUAGUGAUCCUAUUGUUCCUACUGCUUAUGUUGAAAAACCUCCUUUUCCUGUUAGGAUAAAGGAUCAUGCUAAAGCUUCAACUGUUGUUCGUAAGAGUAAUACUAGGACUUUAUACACCUCUUGAGCAAAUUAAUGUUGAACCUAGUAUUGCUAUGGUUAAAGAUCUCUUGGAUGAGGAUUUAGGUGGGCAUGUUAUUUCUUUCUCUGGUGAGUCUGCUAAUAUUGCUAGGCCAGAUACUAAGACACGUAGACCUAUCAUAGGCAUGCCUGUUAUUUCUGUUAAAAUAGGAGAUCAUUGUUAUCACGGCUUAUGUGAUAUGGGUGCUAGUGCUAGUGCAAUACCUUAUUCUUUAUAUCAAGAAAUUAUGCAUGACAUUGCACCCAUUGAAUUAGAAGACAUUGAUGUUACUAUUAAGCUUGCUAAUAGGGAUACCAUUAAACCCUUUGGGAUUGUUAGAGAUGUUGAAGUUUUGUGUGGGAAGGUUAAAUACCCUGCUGAUUUCCUUGUUCUUGGUUCCCCACAAGAUGAUUUUUGUCCCAUUAUUUUUGGUAGACCCUUCUUGAAUACAGCUAGUGCUAAGAUUAAUUGUAAAAAGAAUAUUGUCACUGUUGGCAUAGAUGGUAUGUCUCAUGAGUUUAAUUUCGCUAAGUUUAGUAGACAACCUCGUGAAAGGGAACCACCUAGUAAGGAUGAAAUUAUUGGUCUUGCUUCCAUUGUUGUUCCUCCAACUGAUCCGUUAGAACAAUAUUUGCUAGACCAUGAAAACGAUAUGUUUAUGAAGGAAAGAAGGGAAAUAGAUGAAGUGUUCCUUAAAUAGGAACCUAUGCUGAAACAUAACCUUCCCAUUGAAAUUCUUGGGGAUCCCCCUCCACCCAAGGGUGAUCCCGUGUUUGAACUCAAACCUUUACCUGACAAUCUUAAGUAUGCUUAUCUUGAUGAAAAAGAAAUAUAUCAUGUUAUUAUUAGUGCUAACCUUUCAGAGAAAGAAGAAGAAAGAUUAUUGAAAACUCCGAAGAAGCACCGAGCUCCUAUUGGAUAUACUUUGGAUGAUCUUAAGGGCGUCAGUCCCACGUUAUGCCAACACAAAGUUACAUUGGAGGACGAUGCCAAACCAGUUAGAGAUCCUCAAAGACGACUAAACCCCAAGAUGAAAGAAGUGGUAAGAAAGGAGAUACUAAAGCUCCUUGAGGCAUGUAUUGUUUAUCCCGUUGCUGAUAGUGAAUGGGUAAGCCCUGUCCAUUGUGUCCCUAAAAAGGGAGGUAUUACCGUUAUUCCUAAUGAUAAAGAUGAAUUGAUCCCGCAAAGAAUUAUUAUAGGUUGUAGGAUGGUAAUUGAUUUCCGUAAGUUAAAUAAAGCUACUAAGAAAGAUCAUUACCCCUUACCUUUUAUUGAUCAAAUGCUAGAAAGACUAUCCAAACACACACAUUUCUGCUUCCUAGAUGGUUAUUCUGGUUUCUCCCAGAUACCUGUGUCAGCGAAGGAUCAAUCAAAAACUACUUUUACCUGCCCUUUUGGUACUUUUUCUUAUAGACGUAUGCCUUUUGGUUUAUGUAAUGCACCUUCUACCCUUCAAAGAUGCAUGAUGGCUAUAAUCUCUGAUUUUUGUGAAAAGAAUUGUGAGUUAUUCAAGGAUGAUUUCUCAGUUUAUGGAUCCUCUUUUGAUGAUUGUUUGAGCAACCUUGAUCGAGUUUUGUGAUACAUCUCCAAUGUAUCUAUAAUUUAUGAAGCAUUCAUGCUAUUUAAUUAUAUGUUUUGAAUGAUUACGGGCUUUAUUUUACACUUUUAUAUUACUUUUGGGACUAACCAAUUAACCGGAGGCCCAGCCCAUAUUGUUGUUUUAUUGCCUGUUUCAGUACUUCGAAGAAAAGUAAUAUCAAACGGAGUCCAAAUGGAAUGAAACCUAUGGCAGCGUUAAUUUUGGGAAGAAUAACACCAAGGAGAGUUGGAGUUCACUUCAGAAGAGCCUCGAGGAGGCCACGAGAUAGGAGGGCGCCCCCCUACUGGGUGUGCCCCCCUGUCUCGUGGGCCCCUCGAGCACCCCCGACCGACUUCUUUCGCCUAUAUAAUCCUACGUACUCUAAAACCAUCGAAAAUCAAGAUAGAUCGGGAGUUCCGCCGCCGCAAGCCUCUGUAGCCACCAAAAACCUCUCGGGAGCCCGUUCCGGCACCCUGCCCUAGGGGGAACCCAUCACCGGUGGCCAUCUUCAUCAUCCCGGUGCUCUCCAUGACGAGAAGGGAGUAGUUCACCCUCAGGGCUGAGGGUAUGUACCAGUAGCUAUGUGUUUGAUCUCUCUCUCUCGUGUUCUCUCUAUGGCACGAUCCUGAUGUAUCGCGAGCUUUGCUAUUAUAGUUGGAUCUUAUGAUGUUUCUCCCCCUCUACUCUCUUGUAAUGAAUUGAGUUUCCCCUUUGAAGUUAUCUUAUCGGAUUGAGUCUUUGAUUUGAGAACACUUGAUGUAUGUCUUGCUGUGUUUAUCUGUGGUGACAAUGGGAUAUCACAUGCCACUUGAUGUAUGUUUUGGUGACCAACUUGCGAGUUCCGCCCAUGAACCUAUGCAUAGGGGCUGGCACACAUUUUCUUGACUCUCUGGUAGAAACUUUGGGGCACUCUUUGAUGUACUUUGUGUUGGUUGGAUGAAUCUGAGAUUGUGUGAUGCAUAUCGUAUAAUCAUGCCCACGGAUACUUGAGGUGACAAUGGAGUAUCUAGGUGACAUUAGGGUUUUGGUUGAUUUGUGUCUUAAGGUGUUAUUCUAGUAUGAACUCUUUAAUAGAUCGAUCCGAAAGAAUAACUUUGAGGUGGUUUCGUACCCUACCAUAAUUUCUAUGUUUGUUCUCCACUAUUAGUGGCUUUGGAGUGACUCUUUGUUGCAUGUUUAGGGCUUGUUAUAUGAUCUAUAUAUGUUAUUAUUGUUGAGAUAACUUGCACUAGUGAAAGUAUGAACCUUAGGCCUUGUUUCCUAUCAUUGCAAUACCGUUUGUGCUCACUUUUAUCAUUAGUUACCUUGCUAUUUUUAUAAUUUCAGAUUACAAAAACCUUUAUCUAUCAUCCAUAUUGCACUUGUAUCACCAUCUCUUUGCUGAACUAGUGCACCUAUACAGUUUACCAUUGUAUUGGGUGUGUUGGGGACACAAGAGACUCUUUGUUAUUUUGUUGCAGGGUUGUUUGAGAGAUACCAUCUUCAUCCUACGCCUCCUACGGAUUGACAAACCUUAGGUCAUCCACUUGAGGGAAAUUUGCUACUGUCCUACAAACAUGUGCACUUGCAGGCCCAACAACGUCUACAAGAAGAAGGCUGUGUAGUAGACAUCAAGCUCUUUUCUGGCGCCGUUGCUGGGGAUGUGAGUGCUUGAAGGUAUAUCUUUAGAUCUUGCAAUCGAAUCUUUUUGUUUCUUGUUUUAUCACUAGUUUAGUUUAUAAAUGAAAACUACAAAAAAAUGGAGUUGAGUUUGUCUCAUACGCUUCGUCCUUUUAAUAUCUUUCGUGAGUAUGAUGAAAAGGAAAAUUGUGCUCAAGUGCUAGAAGAAGAAUGCAUUAAAAUGUUUGGUACUAAAUCUUUGAAUGAUGAGCAUGAUUGAAAUGUUGUUAGUAUGAAUUCCUUGAAUAUCCAUGAUGCUAAUGAUAGGCAAAGCCACAAGCUUGGGGAAGCUAUGUUUGAUGAAUAUGAUAUUUUUAGUCCCCCAAGUUUUGAUGAGCAAAUUUAUUAUGAUGAAAGCAUGCCUCCUAUUUAUGAUGAUUAUAUUGAUGAAAGUGGGUUUGGAAGAGUGCCAACUUUAGGAAGUAGUAAUCCCACUAUUUUGGAGGAUGUUGAAUCUUAUUGUGAUGAACAUGAAAGUGGAUUUGGAAGAGUGUCAACUUUAUUUAGUGAUGAUUCCACUAUUUCGGAAGAGGUUCCAAUUGAUUAUGAGAACAAAGUUGCUAUCUAUGAUGAUUAUUGUGAUGACUUGUAUGCUAUUAGGAAUAAUGAUAACCAUGAAACUUGUCAUCAUGAUUUUAGUUUUCAAUUUAAUUAUGCCUCACAUGAUAAUUGCUUUGUUGAGUUUGCUCCCACUACUAUUCAUGAGAAGAAUUUUGCUUAUGAGGAGAGUAGUAAAUUUUCUAUGCAAGUAGAUCAUGAAAAGAAUACUUUAGGUGGUGGUUAUAUUGUUGGAUUCAUUCAUGAUGCUACUGAAAUUUAUUAUGAGAGAGGAACAUAUGCUUGUAGGAAUUGCAAUAAUGUCAAGUUUCCUAUCUAUGUGUUGAAAUUUUUGAAGUUAUGCUUGUUUUGCCUUCCUAUGCUAGUUGAUUAUUGUUCCCAUAAGUUGUUUGCUCACAAAAUCCCUAUGCAUAAGAAGUGGGUUAGGCUUAAAUGUGAUAAUCAUAUGCUUCAUGAUGCUCCCAUUAUGUUUCAAUUCUUAUCUUUGAUGUGAGCAUCAUUGUCAUCAUCAUGCCUAGCUAGAAAGGCAUUAAAGAAAAGCGCUUGUUGGGAGGCAACCCAAAUUUAUUUUUGUUCCUUGAUUUUUGUUCCUGUUUAGUAAUAAAUAAUUCAUCUAGCCUCUGGUUAUAUGUGGUUUCAUGUUUUAAUUAGUGCUUGUGCCAAGUAGAACCUUUGGGAAGACUUGGGUGAAGUCCUUAUGAUCUUGCUGUAAAAAAACAGAAACUUUAGCGCUCACGAGAAUAGCUGCCAUGUUUUACUGAAGAAUGAUUUUAGGUUGAUUCUUUUUGAAGAUGAUUAAUAGACAAAUUCCUCAGGUACAUCAAUUUAUUUCAGAAUUAUUUGAGUUCCAGAAGUAUACGUUUGAUACAGAUUACUAGAGACUGUUCUGUUUUUAACAGAUUCUGUUUUCUAUGUGUUGUUUGCUUAUUUUGAUGCAUCUAUGGCUAGUAUUAAGUGGUAUGAACCAUAGAUAAGUUGGAGUACAGUAGAUAUUACACCAAUAUGAAUUUAUAAUGAGUUCAUUACAGUACCUAAGUGGUGGUUUUAUUUUCUUAUACUAACGGAGCUUACGAGUUUUGUUUUGAGUUUUGUGUGGCUGAAGUUUUCAAGUUUUGGGUAAAGAUUCGAUGGACUAUAGAAUAAGGAGUGGCAAGAUCCUAAGCUCGGGGAUGCCCACAGAACUCCAAGGUAAUAUUCAAGGAAAACUAAGAGCCUAAGCUUGGGGAUUCCCCAGAAGGCAUCCCCUCUUUCGUCCUCGUUCAUCGGUAACCUUACUUGGAGCUAUAUUUUUAUUCACCACAUGAUAUGUGUUUUGCUUCGAGCGUUAUUUUCUUUUGUUAGUAUUUGCUUGAUGUUAUUUAGAAUAAUGUUUUUCACCUUUAGUUUCAACAAAAAUGUCAAGGAUAGCCUUUGCCAUGCUUAUUUUGCUAGUAUACAUGUUGCUGUUUGAAAACAGAAAGUUUACCGCUGUUGCAAAAAUUCCCUAGAAAAGUCAGGGAAUGGUAUAAUGUUGAAUCUUUUUGAAUAUUAAGAUCUGAUAAAUUUAUUACAGUGGGAAUUUUCUCUCAUAAUUUUUGGAGUCAGGUAAGUAUUGAUACUCUUGCAUUCUUUACAGACUGUACUGUUUUGGCAGAUUGCUUUUAUGGUUGCAUUGUUUGCAUAUGUUUGCUUGUUUAAUGAUUCUAUUUGAGGAUAGGAGUAUUAAAUAUGCAGAGGCAUUUAGUAUGAAAUGUUGAAUAAUAAUUCUAGUGAUUUGUUACAGUAGAAAAUGAUAAGGUUUUGCAUUGGUUUAUACUAACCUAUCUCACGAGUUCUUGUUGAGUUUGUUGUGAAUGAAGCUUUUGAUAAAAAGAGAAACCAUGAUAUGAGAGGAAUUAAGGAGACACAAAAGUUCAAGCUUGGGGAUGCCCAAGGCACCCCAAGAUAAUAUUUCAAGAAGUCUCAAGCAUCUAAGCUUGGGGAUGCCCCGGUAGGCAUCCCACCUUUCUUCUUCAACAAUCAUCGGUUAGUAUCGGUUGAGCCUAUGUUUUUGCUUCUUCACAUGAGUUGUGCUAUCCUUGCAAUGUCAUUUUAUUUUGUUUUGCUUUCUGCUUGAAUACAAUACCAAGAUCUGAAAUUCUUUAAUGAGAGAGAAUCUUCACAUAGUUGCAUAAUUAUUUAGCUACUCAUUGAUCUUCACUUAUAUCUUUUGGGAGUAGUUUGUCAUUUACUCGUGUGCUUCACUUAUAUCCUAUGAGUAAAUUGUUGAAUGAGUUGAUUCUCAUAAAUCUGAAAUUAUAUAUGCCUCAUUUGCUUAUCCCAUGGGGAGUAAUGACUUCACAUCUUAGAAGUAGAGGUUGUAAAUUUAUUGAAGGUUAGCAAGCAUUGUAAUUAGUCAUUUGAACAAUUCAUGAAAGAAUAUUGAAGGAAGAGAGAUUUCACAUAUAAAUAUACUAUCCUAGACAUCUUUUAUAAUUGUGAGCACUCAUUAAGUAUGACAUGCUAAAGUGUUGAUGUUGGACAAGGAAGACAACGUAAUGGGUUAUGUUUUCUCACAUCUCAGUUAAAGUAUAUUUUCAUGGAUCAUUCAAACAUGUUGAGCUUGCCUUUCCCCCUCAUGCUAGCCAAAAAUUCCUAGCACCAAGUAGAGAUACUACUUGUGCUUCCAAAUAUCCUUAAACCCAGUUUUUGCCAUGAGAGUCCACCAUACCUACCUAUGGAUUGAGUAAGAUCCUUCAAGUAAGUUUUCAUCGGUGCAAGCAAUAAAAAUUGCUCUCUAAAUAUGCAUGACUUAUUAGUGCGGAGAAAAUAAGCUUUGUAUGAACUUGUUAUGGAAGCAAUAAAAGUGACGGACUGCAUAAUAAAGGUCCAUAUACAAGGGGAAAUAUAAAGUGACAUUCUUUCGCAUUAAGAUUUUGUGUAUCCAACCCUAAAAGCGCAUGACAACCUCUGCUUCCCUCUGCGAAGGACCUAUCUUUUACUUUAUGCAAGAGUCAAGGUGAUCUUCACCUUUCCCUUUUUCAUUUUAUCCUUUGGCAAGCAAUUUGUGUUAGGGUGAUCCUGAUAUAUAUAUCCAAUUGGAUGUACGUUAGCAUGAACUAUUAUUGUUGACAUCACCCAAAGGUGAAUACAUUUGGAGGCAACAUUAUAAGCCCCUACCUUUCUCUGUGUCUGAUUAAAACUUCAUAACCACAAGUAUUGCGUGAGUGUUAGCACUUGUAGAAGACUAUAUGAUGGUUGAGUAUGUGAAGUUUGCUAAAUCAAAGCUCUGACAUAGACCCUUCCUGAAAAUAGGAUGAAUUGCAAUUGUUUGAUGACUAAGAAUGAAGAUUGCUAGUUUUCAAGAAUGUUUAUGGUCUAUGCUUUGACAUGUGAAUUGCUUGUUACUUUAUCGUGAGAAGUUUUAUGAGAUGAACUACUAUUAUGACAUAUUAUCAUGCUAGAAAAGGUGAAUGAAAUUAUCAUUGGUCAAACUUGUGCACCUUCUAGCAUUCACACUUCAUAAAUUCUUUCUUUAUCAUUUACCUACUCGAGGACGAGUAGGAAUUAAGCUUGGGGAUGCUGAUACAUCUCCAACGUAUCUAUAAUUUACGAAGCAUUCAUGCUAUUUUAUUAUCUGUUUUGAAUGAUUACGGGCUUUAUUUUACACUUUUAUAUUACUUUUGGGACUAACCUAUUAACCGGAGGCCCAGCCCAUAUUGUUGUUUUAUUGCCUGUUUCAGUAUUUUGAAGAAAAGGAAUAUCAAACAGAGUCCAAACGGAAUGAAACCUUCGGCAGUGUUAUUUUUGGGAAGAAUAUCACCCAGGAGACUUGGAGUUCACGUCAGAAGAGCCUCGAGGAGGCCACGAGAUAGGAGGGCGUGCCCCCCUACUGGGCNNNNNNNNNNNNNNNNNNNNNNNNNNNNNNNNNNNNNNNNNNNNNNNNNNNNNNNNNNNNNNNNNNNNNNNNNNNNNNNNNNNNNNNNNNNNNNNNNNNNNNNNNNNNNNNNNNNNNNNNNNNNNNNNNNNNNNNNNNNNNNNNNNNNNNNNNNNNNNNNNNNNNNNNNNNNNNNNNNNNNNNNNNNNNNNNNNNNNNNNNNNNNNNNNNNNNNNNNNNNNNNNNNNNNNNNNNNNNNNNNNNNNNNNNNNNNNNNNNNNNNNNNNNNNNNNNNNNNNNNNNNNNNNNGUACCCUAAAACCAUCGAAAAUCAAGAUAGAUCAGGAGUUCCGCCGCCGCAAGCCUCUAUAGCCACCAAAAACCUCUCGGGAGCCCGUUCCGGCACCCUGCCGGAGGGGGAACCCAUCACCGGUGGCCAUCUUCAUCAUCCCGGCGCUCUCCAUGACGAGGAUGGAGUUGUUCAUCCUCGGGGCUGUGGGUAUGUACCAGUAGCUAUGUGUUUGAUCUCUGUCUUUCUCGUGUUCUCUCUAUGGCACGAUCUUGAUGUAUCGCGAGCUUUGCUAUUAUAGUUGGAUCUUAUGAUGUUUCUCCCCCUCUACUCUCUUGUAAUGAAUUGAGUUUCCCCUUUGAAGUUAUCUUAUCGGAUUGAGUCUUUGAUUUGAGAACACUUGAUGUAUGUCUUGCCGUGUUUAUCUGUGGUGACAAUGGGAUAUCACGUGCCACUUGAUGUAUGUUUUGGUGACCAACUUGCGGGUUCCGCCCAUGAACCUAUGCAUAGGGGUUGGCACACGUUUUCUUGACUCUCCGGUAGAAACUUUGGGGCACUCUUUGAAGUACUUUGUGUUGGUUGGAUGAAUCUGAGAUUGUGUGAUGCAUAACGUAUAAUCAUGCCCACGGAUACUUGAGGUGACAAUGGAGUAUCUAGGUGACAUUGGGGUUUUGGUUGAUUUGUGUCUUAAGGUGUUAUUCUAGUACAAACUCUUUAAUAGAUCGAUCCGAAAGAAUAACUUUGAGGUGGUUUCGUACCCUACCAUAAUCUCUACGUUUGUUCUCUGCUAUUAGUGGCUUUGGAGUGACUCUUUGUUGCAUGUUGAGGGCUUGUUGUAUGAUCUAUCUAUGUUAUUAUUGUUGAGAGAACUUGCACUAGUGAAAGUAUGAACCUUAGGCCUUGUUUCCUAUCAUUGCAAUACCUUUUGUGAUCACUUUUAUCAUUAGUUACCUUGCUGUUUUUAUAAUUUCAGAUUACAAAAACCUUUAUCUAUCAUCCAUAUUGCAAUUGUAUCACCAUCUCUUCGCCGAACUAGUGCACCUGUACAAUUUACCAUUGUAUUGGGUGUGUUGGGGACACAAGAGACUCUUUGUUAUUUGGUUGCAGGGUUGUUUGAGAGAGACCAUCUUCAUCCUACGCCUCCUAUGGAUUGAUAAACCUUAGGUCAUCCACUUGAGGGAAAUUUUCUACUGUCCAACAAACCUGUGCACUUGCAGGCCCAACAACGUCUACAAGAAGAAGGUUGUGUAGUAGACAUCAUUUUGCAGAGAUGCGAAGCCACUAGCCUCGUCCUGAAUUUGGAAAAGUGUCACUUUAUGGUUAAUGAAGGCAUUGUCUUGGGGCACAAGAUCUCUGAGAGAGGUAUUGAAGUUGAUAAAGCCAAAGUUGAUGUUAUUGAAAAGAUGCCAUGUCCCAAGGACAUAAAAGGUAUAAGAAGUUUCCUUGGUCAUGCUGGUUUUUAUAGGAGGUUCAUUAAGGACUUUUCUAAAAUCUCUAGGCCUCUGACUAAUUUAUUGCAAAAAUAUAUUCCUUUUGUCUUUGACGAUGAUUGUGUAGAAGCAUUUGAAACACUUAGGAAACCUUUGAUCACUUCACCUAUUGUUCAGCCACCUGAUUGGAAUUUACCUUUUGAAAUUAUGUGUGAUGCUAGUGAUUAUGCUAUAGGUGUUGUUCUAGGGCAAAGAGCCGAUAAGAAAUUGAAUGUUAUCCAGUAUGCUAGUAAGACUCUUGAUACUGCCCAGAGAAAUUAUGCUACUAUUGAAAAAGAGUUCUUAGCAGUUGUGUUUGCAUGUGAUAAGUUUAGACCUUAUAUUGUUGAUUCCAAAGUUACUAUUCACACUGAUCAUGCUGCUAUUAAAUAUCUUAUGGAAAAGAAAGAUGCUAAGCCUAGACUCAUUAGAUGGGUUCUCUUGCUCCAUGAAUUUGACUUGCAUAUUAUUGAUAGAAAGGGAGCUGAGAACCCCGUUGCAGAUAACUUGUCUAGGUUAGAGAAUGUUCUUGAUGACCCACUGCCGAUUAAUGAUAGCUUUCCUGAUGAACAAUUAGCGGUCGUCGAUGCUUCUUGUACUGCUCCUUGGUAUGCUGAUUAUGCUAAUUACAUUGUUGCUAAAUUUAUACCGCCUAGUUUCACAUACCAGCAAAAGAAAAGGUUCUUUUAUGAUUUAAGACAUUACUUCUGGGAUGAUCCACACCUUUAUAAAGAAGGAGUAGAUGGUGUUAUUAGACGUUGUGUGCCUGAGCAUGAACAGGAAUAGAUCCUACGCGAGUGUCACUCUGAAUCUUAUGGAGGACACCACGCUGGAGAUAGAACUGCACACAAGGUACUACAAUCUGGGUUUUAUUGGCCUACUAUCUUCAAAGAUGCUCGUAAGUUUGUCUUAUCUUGUGAUGAAUGUCAAAGAAUAGGUAACAUUAGUAGACGUCAAGAAAUGCCUAUGAAUUAUUCUCUUGUUAUUGAACCAUUUGAUGUUUGGGGCUUUGAUUAUAUGGGACCUUUUCCUGCCUCUAAUGGUUAUAUACAUAUUUUAGUCGCUGUUGAUUAUGUUACUAAGUGGGUAGAAGCUAUUCCAACUAGUAGUGCUGAUCAUAACACUUCUAUUAAAAUGCUUAAGGAAGUUAUUUUUCUGAGGUUUGGAGUCCCUAGAUAUCUUAUGACUGAUGGUGGUUCACAUUUUAUUCAUGGUGCUUUCCGUAAGAUGCUUGCUAAGUAUGAUGUCAAUCAUAGAAUCGCAUCUCCUUAUCAUCCGCAGUCUAGUGGUCAAGUAGAGUUGAGCAAUAGAGAGCUCAAAUUAAUCGUGCAAAAGACUGUGAAUAGAUCUAGAAAGAAUUGGUCCAAAAAACUUGAUGAUGCAUUAUGGGCCUAUAGAACUACAUACAAAAAUCCUAUGGGUAUAUCUCCAUAUAAGAUGGUCUAUGGAAAAGCGUGUCAUUUACCUCUUGAACUUGAACAUAAGGCAUAUUGGGCUAUUAAAGAGCUCAAUUAUGACUUCAAACUUGCUGGUGAGAAGAGGUUAUUUGAUAUUAGCUCACUGGAUGAAUGGAGAACCCAAGCGUAUGAGAAUGCCAAGCUAUUCAAAGAAAAAGUCAAACGCUAGCAUGAUAAGAGGAUACAAAAACGUGAGUUUAACGUAGGAGACUAUGUAUUAUUAUUCAACUCUCAUUUAAGAUUUUUUGCAGGAAAACUUCUCUCAAAAUGGGAAGGUCCUUACGUUAUCGAGGAGGUCUAUCGUUCUGGUGCCAUAAAAAUCAACAACUUCGAAGGCACGAGUCCAAGGGUGGUAAACGUCAAAAAUUAAACAUUAUAUUUCAGGUAAUCCUAUCAAUGUUGAAACUAAUAUUAUUGAAACUGUAACCCCCAGGGAAUACAUAAGGGACACUUUCCAGAACGUUCCAGACUCCGAAAAGGUAUAGGUAUGUGGUACGGUAAGUAAACUGACUCCAAAACGACCCUAAUGGCAAUUUUUAUCAGUUUUGGAAUAUUUAAAAAAAUUAGGAAUAAAGAAGUAGUCCGAAAGGGACACGAGGCUCCCACGAGAGUGGAGGGCGCCCCCCCCCCCUUACUGGGCGCGCCCCCUGUCUCGCUGGCACCUCAUGUGCCUCCCGGACUCCGUUUUCUUGCAUGUUACGUAUUUUGGUCGGUAAAAAUUCAUUAUAUAUACCCCUGAAGGUUUUGACUACCGUAUCACACAAAUAUCCUCUAUUUUCGUUUCGAGCUAUUUCUGUUUCAUAUCUAAGAGCAUCAUGUCGUCUCCAAGCGCUCCCAAGGAUAAGUUUUUCGAGAGGGUUAUCAACCCCUAUCUUGCGGAGGUGUUGCAACACCCUCAAACCAUUGAGAUGCAUGAGGUGGUGCUGCACAUCCGCGAUGUGGAGGGACCAAGGCGUACCGGGAGCGUGGAGACAAAGCUCGAAGCCGUGGAGCAGCAAGUUUUCAAGUGCCAAGGGAUGGUGGAGCAUGGAAUCAACGCCAACCAGAUGAUGAUCACGGAGUUCACCAACAACCACAAGUUGGAUGCCAAAGUCAUUGGGGAGACCAUCUUCAAGCUUCAAGAGAAAAUCGAGCACCUCCAAGCCCAGAUCUACGACCUGCAAAACCAGAACUGCGAGUAUGAAUAUAGAUUCAAGAGGAUGAGUUUGGCUGCAGAUUUAAGGAUCCCGGAGACUCGAUCAUCCUUCUAUGAUGGAGAGCCUAUGCCUUGGAAGAUGGACGACAAGCCUACAUCAUCAACAACUCCUACUUCACCACCUCCGAGGACAUAAUCACAUGGGUAUGGGCACUCCCCUUGGCAACUGCCAAGCUUGGGGGAGGUGCCCCGAUAUCGUAUCACCAUCGCACUCCUAUCUUUGCCGCUUUAUUUAGUUUGAUCCUUUUAGUAGUAUCUUGAUCUAGUAGAUUGAAGUUUUGAUAUCAAGUAGUUUGAGUUUUGCUUUGUGAUCUCUUUUUGUAAUCGAGUCCGUGAGCUAUCUAUAAUAAAUAUUAGUGUUGAGUCAAGGGAUUUGCUAUGUUGCUAUGAUCUUGAGAAAGUAGAAAGAAUAAACGAGUUCAUAUUGAUCUUAUGGAUAGUAAUAACUUCACAUAUAGAAAGUAUGAGGCAUAAAAAUUGUUGAGAGUUGAUAAACUCAGCCUUGGUCAUCGUUGCAAUUAAUAGGAAGUGAUAACGAAAGAGGAGUUCACAUAUAAAUAUAUUAUCUUGGACACCUUUUAUAAUUGGGAGCACUCAUUCAGUAUGACAUGCUAAAAGAGUUGACGUUGGAGAAGGAAGAUAACAUAAUGGUUUAUGUUUUCCGGCAUCUCAGUUAAAGUAUAUUGUCAUUGACCUUCCAAACAUGUUGAGCUUUCCUUUCCCGCUCAUGCUAGCCAAACUCCUUGCACAAAGUAGAGAUACUACAUGUGCUUCCAAAUACCCUUAAACACAGUUUUGCCAUGAGAGUCCACCAUACCUACCUAUGGAUUGAGUAAGAUCCUUCUGUUGGGGAACGUAGUAAUUUCAAAAAAAAUCCUACGUACACGCAAGAUCAUGGUGAUGGCAUAGCAACGAGAGGGGAGAGUGUUGUCCACGUACCCUCGUAGACCGUAAGCGGAAGCGUUAUGACAACGCGGUUGAUGUAGUCGUACGUCUUCACAAUCCGACCGAUCCAAGCACCGAACGUACGGCACCUCCGAGUUCAGCACACGUUCAGCUCGAUGACGAUCCCCGGGAUCCGAUCCAGCAAAGCUUCGGGGAUGAGUUCCGUCAGCAUGACGGCGUGGUGACGAUGAUGAUGUUCUACCGGCGCAGGGCUUCGCCUAAAAUACGCGACGAUAUGACCGAGGUGGAAUAUGGUGGAGGGGGGCACCGCACACGGCUAAGGAACGAUCCGUAGAUCAACUUAUGUUCUUGUGGGGUGCCCCCCUGCCCCCGUAUAUAAAGGAGGGAGGGGGAGGUGCGGCCGGCCCCCUUGGGGUGCGCCUGGAGGAGUCCUACUCCCACCGGGAGUAGGACUACCUCCUCUUGCCUUGGUGGAGAAGGAAAGGGGGGAGGGGAAAGAGGAAAGGGGGGCGCCCCCCCCCCCUUCCUUGUCCUAUUCGGACUAGGGGGGAGGGGGCGCGCGGCCUGCCCUGGCCGGCCCUCCUCUUCUCCCUCAUGGCCCACUAAGGCCCAUUAACCCCCGGGAGGGUUCCGGUAACCCCCCGGUGUUCCGGUAAAAUCCCGAUUUCACCCGGAACCUUUCUGAUGUCCAAACAUAGGCUUCCAAUAUAUCAAUCUUUAUGUCUCGACCAUUUCGAGACUCCUCGUCAUGUCCGUGAUCACAUCCGGGACUCCUAACAAACUUCGGUACAUCAAAACUUAUAAACUCAUAAUAAAACUGUCAUCGUAACGUUAAGUGUGCGGACCCUACGGGUUCGAGAACUAUGUAGACAUGACCUAGAACCAUUCUCGGUCAAUAACCAAUAGCGAAACCUGGAUGCCCAUAUUGGUUCCUACAUAUUCUACGAAGAUCUUUAUCGGUCAAACCGCAUAACAACAUACGUUGGUACCUUUGUCAUCGGUAUGUUACUUGCCCGAGAUUCAAUCGUCGGUAUCCAAUACCUAGUUCAAUCUCGUUACUGGCAUGUCUCUUUACUCAUUACGUAACGCAUCAUUCCGUAACUAACUUAUUAGCUACAUUGCUUGCAAGGCUUAUAGUGAUGUGCAUUACCAAGAGGGCCCAGAGAUACCUCUCCGACAAUCGGAGUGACAAAACCUAAUCUCGAAAUACGCCAACUCAACAUGUACCUUCAGAGACACCUAUAGUACUCCUUUAUAAUCACCCAGUUACGUUGUGACGUUUGGUAGUACCCAAAGUGUUCCUCCGGUAAACGGGAGUUGCAUAAUCUCAUAGUUACAGGAACAUGUAUAAGUCAUGAAGAAAGCAAUAGCAAUAUACUAAACGAUCAAGUGCUAGGCUAACGGAAUGGGUCAUGUCAAUCACAUCAUUAUCCUAAUGAUGUGAUCCCAUUAAUCAAAUGACAACAGAUGUCUAUGGUUAGGAAACAUAACCAUCUUUGAUUAAUUUGCUAGUCAAGUAGAGGCAUACUAGUGACUAUAUGUUUGUCUAUGUAUUCACACAUGUAUCAUGUUUCCGGUUAAUACAAUUCUAGCAUGAAUAAUAAACAUUUAUCAUGAAAUAAGGAAAUAAAUAAUAACUUUAUUAUUGCCUCUAGGGCAUAUUUCCUUCAGUAUCCCACUUGCACUAGAGUCAAUAAUCUAGUUCACAUCGCUAUGUGAUUUAACACCAAUAUUCACAUCUGCAUGUGAUUAAUACCCAUAGUUCACAUCAUCAUGUGAUCAACACCCAAAGGGUUUACUAGAGUCAAUAAUCUAGUUCACAUCGCUAUGUGAUUAACACCCAAAAGAGUACUAAGGUAUGAUCAUGUUUUGCUCGUGAGAGAAGCUUAGUCAACGGGUCUGUCAUAUUCAGAGCCGUAUGUAUUUCGCAAAUAUUCUAUGUCCACAAUGCUCUGCACGGAGCUACUCUAGCUAAUUGCUCCCACUUUCAAUAUGUAUCCAGAUUGAGACUUAGAGUCAUCUGGAUUGGUGUAAAAGCUUGCAUCGUUGCAACUUUAAUGACAGGCUCUUUUAUCACCUCCAUAAUCGAGAAACAUCUCCUUAGUCCUCACUAAGGAUAUUCUUGACCCAUGUCCAGUGAUCUACUUAUUAGAUCAAAAUUGUAUUCCUUUGCCAAACACAGAGCAAGGUAUACAAUAGGUCUGGUUCAUGGCAUAGCAUACUUUAUAGAACCUAUGACUGAGGCAUAGGGAAUGACUUUUCAUUCUCUUUCUAUUUUCUGCAAUGGUCGGGUCUUGAGUCUUACUCAACUUCACACCUUGUAACACAGGCAAGAACUCCUUCUUUGACUGUUCCAUUUUGAACUAUUUCAAAAAUUUAUCAAGGUAUGUAUUCAUUGAAAAAUCUUAUCAAGCGUUUUGAUCUAUCUAUAUAGAUCUUGAUGCUCAAUGUGUAAGCAGCUUUACCGAGGUCUUUCUUUUAAAGAACUCCUUUCAAACACUCCUUUAUGCUUUGCAGAAUAAUUCUACAUUAUUUCCGAUCAACAAUAUGUCAUUCACAUAUACUUAUCAGAAAUGCUGUAGUGCUCCCACUCACUUUCUUGUAAAUACAGGCCUUUCCAAAAGUCUGUAUAAAACCAUAUGCUUUGAUCAACUCAUCAAAGCGUAUAUUCCAACUCUGAGAUGCUUGCACCAGUCCAUUGAUGGAUCGCUGGAGCUUGCACAUUUUGUUAGCACCUUUAGGAUUAGCAAAACCUUCUGGUUGCAUCAUAUACAACUCUUGUUUAAAAAUCCAUUAAGGAAUGCAGUUUUGACAUCCAUUUGCCAAAUUUCAUAAAAUGUGGCAAUUGCUAACAUGAUUUAGACAGACUUAAGCAUCGAUACGAGUGAGAAAAUCUCAUCGUAUUCAACACCUUGAACUUGUCGAAAACCUUUUGCAACAAGUCGAGCUUUAGUAGAUAGUAACACUACUAUCAGUGUCCGUCUUCCUCUUGAAGAUCCAUUUAUUUAACAUGGCUUGCUGAUCAUCGAGCAAGUCAAUCAAAGUCCAUACUUUGUUCUCAUACAUGGAUCAUAUCUCAGAUUUUAUGGCCUCAAGCCAUUUCGUGGAAUCUGGGCUCGUCAUCGCUUCCUCAUAUUUCCUAGGUUCAUCAUGGUCUAGUAACAUGACUUCCAGAACAUGAUUACCGUACCACUCUGGUGCGGAUCUUACUCUGGAAGACCUACGAGGUUUGGUAGCAACUUGAUCUCAAGUUUCAUGAUCAUCAUCAUUAACUUCCUCACUAAUUGGUGUAGGAAUCACUGGAACUGAUUUCUGUGAUGAACUACUUUCCAAUAAGGGAGAAGGUACAAUUACCUCAUCAAGUUCUACUUUCCUCCCACUCACUUCUUUCGAGAGAAACUUCUUCUCUAGAAAGGAUCCAUCUUAGCAACGAAACUUGCUUUCGGAUCUGUGAUAGAAGGUGUACCCAAUAGUUACCUUUGGGUAUUCUAUGAAGACGCACUUCUCCGAUUUGGGUUUGAGCUUAUCAGGCUGAAACUUUUUCACAUAAGCAUCGCAGCCCCAAACUUUAAGAAAUGACAACUUUGGUUUCUUGCUAAACCACAGUUCAUAAGGCGUCGUCUCAACGGAUUUUGAUGGUGCCCUUUUUUAACGUGAAUGCAGCUGUCUCUAAUGCAUAACCCCAAAACGAUAGUGGUAAACCGAUAAGAGACAUCAUAGAUCGCACCAUAUCUAGUAAAGUACGAUUACUACGUUCGGACACACCAUUACAUUGUGGUGUUCCAGAUGGCGUGAGUUGCGAAACUAUUUCACAUUGUUUCAAAUUAAGACCAAACUCAUAACUCAAAUAUUCGUCUCCACGAUCAGAUCGUAGAAACUUUAUUUUUCUUGUUACAAUGAUUUUUCCACUUCACUCUGAAAUUCUUUGAACUUUUCAACUAUUUCAGACCUAUGUUUCAUUAAGUAGAUAUACCCAUAUCUGCUCAAAUCAUCUGUGAAGGUUAGAAAAUAACGAUACUUGCCACGAGCCUUAACACUGAUCAGAUCGCAUACAUCGGUAUGUAUUAUUUCCAAUAAGUCAGUAGCUUGUUCCAUUGUUCCGGAGAACGGAGUUUUAGCCAUCUUGCCCAAAAGGCACGGUUCGCAAGCAUCAAAUGAUUUAUAACCAAGUGAUUCCGAAAAUCCAUCUUUAUGGAGUUUCUUCAUGCGCUUUACACCGAUAUGACCCAAACGGCAGUGCCACAAAUAAGUUGCACUAUCAUUAUCAACUUUGCAUCUUUUGGCAUCAAUAUUAUGAAUAUGUGUAUCACUACGAUCGAGAUCCAACAAACUAUUUUCAUUGGGUGUAUGACCAUAAAAGGUUUUAUUCAUUUAAACAGAACAACAAUUAUUCUUUGACUUUAAAUGAAUAACCAUAUCGCAAUAAACAUGAUCAAAUCAUAUUCAUGCUCAACGCAAAUGCCAAAUAACAUUUAUUUAGGUUUAACACUAAUCCUGAAAGUAUAGGGAGUGUGCGAUGAUGAUCAUAUCAAUCUUGGAACCACUUCCAACACACAUCGUCACUUCACCCUCAACUAGUCUCUGUUUAUUCUGUAACUCCUGUUUCGAGUUACUAAUCUUAGCAACCGAACAAGUAUCAAAUACUCAGGGGUUACUAUAAACACUAGUUAGGUACACAUCAAUAAUCUGUAUAUCAAAUAUACCCUUGUUUAGUUUGCCAUCCUUCUUAUCCACCAAAUAUUCAGGGUAUUUCCCUUUCCAGUGACCAUUUCCUUUGCAGUGUAAGCACUCAGUUUCAGGCUUUGGUUCAGCUUUGGGCUUCUUCGUGGGAGUGACAACUUGCUUGUCAUUCUACUUGAAGUUCCCUUUCUAUCCCUUUGCCCUUUUCUUGAAACUAGUGGUCUUGUCAAUCAUCAACACUUGAUGCUCUUUCUUGAUUUCUACCUUCAUCGAUUUCAACAUCACGAAGAGCUCGGGAAUCGUUUUCGUCAUCCCUUGCAUACUAUAGUUCAUCACAAAGUUCUACUAACUUGGUGAUGGUGACUAGAGAAUUCUGUCAAUCACUAUCUUAUCUGGAAGAUUAACUCCCACUUGAUUCAACCGAUUGUAGUACCCAGACAAUCUGAGCACAUGCUCACUAGUUGAGCGAUUCUCCUCCAUCUUUUAGCCAUAGAUCUUGUUGGAGACUUCAUAUCUCUCAACUCGGGUAUUUGCUUGAAAUAUUAACUUCAACUCCUGGAACAUCUCAUAUGGUCCAUGACAUUCAAAACAUCUUUGAAGUCCCGAUUCUAAGCCGUUAAGCAUGGUGCACUAAACUAUCAAGUAGUCAUCAUAUUGAGCUAGCCAAACGUUCAUAACGUCUACAUCUGCUCCUGCAAUAGGUCUGUCACCUAGCGGUGCAUCAAGGACAUAAUUCUUCUGUGCAGCAAUGAGGAUAAACCUCAGAUCACGGACCAAGUCCGCAUCAUUGCUACUAACAUUUUUCAACAUAGUUUUUCUCUAGGAACACAUAUAAAAACAUAGGGAAGCAAAAACAUAGGGAAGCAACAACGCGAGCUAUUGAUCUAUAACACAAUUUGCAAAAUACUACCAGGACUAAGUUCAUGAUAAAUUCAAGUUCAAUUAAUCAUAUUACUUAAGAACUCCCACUUAGACAAACAUCUCUCUAGUCAUCUAAGUGAUCACGUGAUCCAAAUCAACUAAACCAUAACCGAUCAUCACGUGAGAUGGAGUAGUUUUCAAUGGUGAACAUCACUAUGUUGAUCAUAUCUACUAUAUGAUUCACGCUCGACCUUUCGGUCUCCGUGUUCCGAGGCCAUAUCUGCAUAUGCUAGGCUCGUCAAGUUUAACCUGAGUAUUCCGCGUGUGCAAAACUGUCUUGCACCCGUUGUAGAUGGACGUAGAGCUUAUCACACCCGAUCAUCACGUGGUGUCUGGGCACGACGAACUUUGGCAACGGUGCAUACUUAGGGAGAACACUUCUUGAUAAUUUUAGUGAGAGAUCAUCUUAAAAUGCUAUCGUCAAUCAAAGCAAGAUAAGAUGCAUAAAGGAUAAACAUCACAUGCAAUCAAUAUAAGUGAUAUGAUAUGGCCAUCAUCAUCUUGUGCUUGUGAUCUCCAUCUCCGAAGCACCGUCGUGAUCACCAUCGUCACCGGCGCGACACCUUGAUCUCCAUCGUAGCAUCGUUGUCGUUACGCCAUCUAUUGCUUCUACGACUAUCGCUACCGCUUAGUGAUAAAGUAAAGCAAUUACAGGGUGUUUGCAUUUCAUACAAUAAAGCGACAACCAUAUGGCUCCUGCCAGUUGCCGAUAACUUCGGUUACAAAACAUGAUCAUCUCAUACAAUAAAAUAUAGCAUCACGUCUUGACCAUAUCACAUCGCAACAUGCCCUGCAAAAACAAGUUAGACAUCCUCUACUUUGUUGUUGCAAAUUUUACGUGGCUGAUACGGGCUUAGCAAGAACCGUUCUUACCUACGCAUCAAAAACCACAACGAUAGUUUGUCAAGUUGGUGUUGUUUUAACCUUUGCAAGGACCGGGCGUAGCCACACUCGAUUCAGCUAAAGUGAGAGAGACAGACACCCUCCAGCCGCCUUUAAGCACGAGUGCUCGUAACGGUGAAACCAGUCUCGCGUAAGCGUACGAGUAAUGUCGGUCCGGGCCACUUCAUCUCACAAUACCGCCGAACCAAAGUAUGACAUGCUGGUAAGCAGUAUGACUUGUAUCGCCCACAACUCACUUGUGUUCUACUCGUGCAUAUAACAUCAACGCAUAAAACCUGGCUCGGAUACCACUGUUGGGGAAUGUAGUAAUUUCAAAAAAUUUCCUACGUACACGCUAGAUCAUGGUGAUGGCAUAGCAACGAGAGGGGAGAGUGUUGUCCACGUACCCUCGUAGACCGUAAGCGGAAGUGUUAUGACAACGCGGUUGAUGUAGUCGUACGUCUUCACGAUCCGACCGAUCGAAGCACCGAACGUACAGCACCUCCGAGUUCAGCACACGUUCAGCUCGAUGACGAUCCCCGGGCUCCGAUCCAGCAAAGCUUCGGGGAUGAGUUCCGUCAGCACGACGGCAUGGUGACGAUGAUGAUGUUCUACCGGUGCAGGGCUUCGCCUAAACUCCGUGACGAUAUGACCGAGGUGGAAUAUGGUGGAGGGGGGCACCGCACACGGCUAAGGAACGAUCCGUAGAUCAACUUGUGUUCUUGUGGGGUGCCCCCCUGCCCCCAUAUAUAAAGGAGGGAGGGGGAGGUGCGGCCGGCCCCCUUGGGGUGCGCCUGGAGGAGUCCUACUCCCACCGGGAGUAGGACUCCCCCCUCUUGCCUUGGUGGAGAAGGAAAGGGGGGAGGGGAAAGAGGAAAGGGGGGCGCCGCCCCCCCCUUCCUUGUCCUAUUCGGACUAGGGAGGAGGGGGCGCGCGGCCUGCCCUGGCCGGCCCUCCUCUUCUCCCUCAUGGCCCACUAAGGCCCAUUAACCCCCGGGAGGGUUCCGGUAACCCCCCGGGGUUCCGGUAAAAUCCCGAUUUCACCCGAAACCUUUCCGAUGUCCAAACAUAGGCUUCCAAUAUAUCAAUCUUUAUGUCUCGACCAUUUCGAGACUCCUCGUCAUGUCCGUGAUCACAUCCGGGACUCCGAACAAACUUCAGUACAUCAAAACUUAUAAACUCAUAAUAAAACUGUCAUCGUAACGUUAAGCGUGCGGACCCUACGGGUUCGAGAACUAUGUAGACAUGACCUAGAACCAUUCUCGGUCAAUAACCAAUAGCAGAACCUGGAUGCCCAUAUUGGUUCCUACAUAUUCUACGAAGAUCUUUAUCGGUCAAACCGCAUAACAACAUACGUUGUUCCCUUUGUCAUCGGUAUGUUACUUGACCAAGAUUCGAUCGUCGGUAUCCAGUACCUAGUUCAAUCUCGUUACUGGCAAGUCUCUUUACUCGUUACGUAAUGCAUCAUUCCGUAACUAACUUAUUAGCUACAUUGCUUGCAAAGCUUAUAGUGAUGUGCAUUACUGAGAGGGCCCAGAGAUACCUCUCCGACAAUCGGAGUGACAAAACCUAAUCUCGAAAUACGCCAACUCAACAUGUACCUUCGGAGACACCUGUAGUACUCCUUUAUAAUCACCCAGUUACGUUGUGUCGUUUGGUAGUACCCAAAGUGUUCCUCCGGUAAACGGGAGUUGCAUAAUCUCAUAGUUACAGGAACAUGUAUAAGUCAUGAAGAAAGCAAUUGCAAUAUACUAAACGAUCAAGUGCUAGGCUAACGAAAUGGGUCAUGUCAAUCACAUCAUUCUCCUAAUGAUGUGAUCCCAUUAAUCAAAUGACAACACAUGUCUAUGGUUAGGAAACAUAACCAUCUUUGAUUAAUGAGCUAGUCAAGUAGAGGCAUACUAGUGACUAUGUGUUUGUCUAUGUAUUCACACAUGUAUCAUGUUUCCGGUUAAUACAAUUCUAGCAUGAAUAAUAAACAUUUAUCAUGAAAUAAGGAAAUAAAUAAUAACUUUAUUAUUGCCUCUAGGGCAUAUUUCCUUCACCUUCAAGUAAGUUGUCAUGUUGCGAGCAAUAAAAAUUGCUAUCUAAAUAUGUAUGACUUAUUAGUGCAGAGAAAAUAAGCUUUGUACGAACUUGUUGUGGAAGUAAUAAAAGCGACAGACUGCAUAAUAAAGGUCCACAUACAAGGGGCAAUAUAAAGUGACGUUCUUUUGCAUUAAGAUUUUGUGCAUCAACCCUAAACGCACAUGACAACCUCUGCUUCCCUCUGCGAAGGGCCUAUCUUUUACUUUAUGUUUUUACUUUGUGCUUGAGUCAAGGUGAUCCUCACAUUUUCCUUUUUCAUUUUAUCAUUUGGCAAGCUCCUCGUGUUUGAAAGAUCAUGAUAUAAUAUAUCCAACUGGAUGUUAGUUAGCAUGGGCUAUUAUUAUUGACAUCACCUAAAGGUGAAUACGUUGGGAGGCAACACAAUAAGCCCCUAUCUUUCUCAGUGUCCGGCUGAAACUCCAUAACCACAAGUACUGCGUGAGUGUUAGCAAUUAUAAAAGACUACAGGAUAGUUGAGUAUGUGAACUUGCUGAAAAGCUCUAUUGUUGACUCUUUCUGAUGUUACGAUAAAUUGCAAUUGCUUCAAUGACUGAGAUUAUAGUUUAUUAGUUCCCAAUGAAGUUUUUGAAUCAUACUUGACAUUGUGGAUUGAUUGUUACUUGAGCGUAGGAAUUCAUAUGAUAAAAUCUAUAUAUGUUGUUGUUAUAAGAAUGAUCAUGAUGCCCUCAUGUCCAUAUUUUAUUUUUAUCGACACCUCUAUCUGUAAACAUGUGGACAUAUUUUUCGAUUUCGGCUUCCGCUUGAGGACAAGCGAGGUCUAAGCUUGGUGGAGUUGAUACGUCCAUUUUGCAUCAUGCUUUUAUAUCAAUAUUUAUUGCAUUAUGGGCUGUUAUUACACAUUAUAUCUCAAUACUUAUGGCUAUUCUCUCUUAUUUUACAAGGUUUACCAUGAAGAGGGGGAAUGCCGGCAGCUGGAAUUCUGGCUGGAAAAGGAGCAAAUAUUGGAAACCUAUUCUGCACAACUCCAAAAGUCCUGAAACUCCACGAAAUAACUUUUUGGAAUUAAUAAGAAUUUCUGAGUGAAAGAAAUACACCAGGCGCCCCACACCCUGUCCAGGAGACAGGGGCGCCCCUAUCUCCUGGGCCCCCUGGUGGGCCUCCGGUGUCCAUCUUCUGCUAUAUCAUCGCUUUUACCAUGGAAAAAAUUGUGGGCAAGCUUACGGGAUGAAACUCCGCCGCCACGAGGCGGAACCUUGGCGGAACCAAUCUAGGGCUCUGGCGGAGCUGUUCUGCCGGGGACACUUCCCCCCGGAAGGGGGAAAUCAUUACCAACGUCAUCACCAAUGAUCCUCUCAUAGGGAGGGGGUCAAUCUCCAUCAACAUCUUCACCAGCACCAUCUCCUCUCAAAACCCUAGUUCAUCUCUUGUAUCCAAUCUUGUAUCAAAACCACAAAUUGGUACCUGUGGAUUGAUAGUAGUGUUGAUUACUACUUAUAGUUGAUGCUAAUUGGUUUACUUGGUGGAAGAUCAUAUGUUCAGAUUCUUUAUGCAUAUUAUUACUCCUCUGAUUAUGAACAUGAAUAUGCUUUGUGAUUAGUUACAUUCGUUCCUGAGGACAUGGGUGAAGUCUUGCUAUUAGUAGUCAUGUGAAUUUGGUAUUCGUUCGAUAUUUUGAUGAGAUGUAUGUUGUCUUUUCCUCUAGUGGUGUUAUGUGAACAUCGACUACAUGACACUUCACCAUGAUUUGGGCCUAGAGGAAGGCCUGGGGAAGUAAUAAGUAGAUGAUGGGUUGCUAGAGUGACAGAAGCUUAAACCCUAGUUUAUGCGUUGAUUCGUUAGGGGCUGAUAUGGAUCCAUGUGUUUAAUGUUGUGGUUAGGUUUACCUUAAUAAUUCUUUUGUAGUUGUGGACGCUUGCAAUAGGGGUUAAUCAUAAGUAGGAUGCUUGUCCAUGUAAGGGCAGUACCCAAGUACCGGUCCACCCACAUAUCAAAUUAUCAAAGUACCGAACGCAAAUCAUAUGAACAUGAUGAAAACUAGCUUGACGAUAAUUCCCAUGUGUCCUCGGGAGCUCCUUUCUCAUUAUUAGAAUUUGUCCAGGCUUAUCCUGUGCUACAUAAAGGAUUGGGCCACCUUGCUGCACUUUAAUUAUUUUAUUUACUUGUUACUUGUUACCAUUUAUCUUAUCGCAAAACUAUCUAUCACCUACAAUUUUAGUGCUUGCAGAGAAAACCUUACUGAAAACCGCUUAUCAUUUCCUUCUGCCCUCGUUGGGUUCGAUACUCUUACUUAUCGAAAGGACUACGAUUGAUCUCCUACACUUGUGGGUCAUCACUUGCGCACUUGUUGUUUGUUGCAUCAUAUAGGUUGCUCACCUAGUUGCAUAUCUAGACAACCUACUUUGAUGCAAAGUUUAAUUUGGUAAAGAAAAGCUAAAAAUUGUUAGUUGCCUAUUCACCCCCCACCCUCUAGUCAACUAUAUCGAUCCUUUCAAUUGGUAUCAGAGCCUCGUCUCUUUAUUAAAGACUUUGUCGUCCGAAGAGUAUGGUUGACACCAUAGACGGUGGGGAGGAGCACUCCGGUGUGAAUCCGAGCUCGUCUAGGGCCGAUGGGGAACCGCGGUCUCUCGUGAGGAAUUUAAUGUGGCUUUGGACACAUUGAAAACCUCCAUGACGACCGAGGUUGAAAGCAUGUUUAAUAAAUUCUUAGAAGGACUUAAACUAUCUACCUCGCCUAUAAAAGUGGGUGAUCCCACUAACAAGGUGACGCAUGCUAGCUCCGACAAGGGGGAAACUAAUAGUGAAAAGGGUCCUUCUACUAGUGGUCAAAAUGGCACCGACAUCUUUUCCCAUGUGGAGCCUCCAACUUAUGGAGGACCGAUUCCCUCUACUCAUUUAAAUCAUGCCAGCCCUCCUCCUAAGAUUGUGAAAAAUGAGGAUUUUGAUUCUUGGGUGUAUCGCUUCAAGCGUCAUCUAAAUCAUGUGAAUACUAAUCUUUGGAGAAUCAUUGAAGAAGGUUUCUAUCCACAUGACCGAAGCAACUUCACCCCUAGAGAAGUCGUGGAUAAUUAAUUCAAUGAGAAUGCUCUCUUCAUCAUCCAAGAUGCUAUUCUCCCCGAAGAUCUCCCUCAUCUUCGACCCUACGCCAUGGACAAAGAUGCAUGGCAUUGCAUUGUGUCUCUCUAUCGGGGAAGCGCAAGCAUUCAAUGCUCCAACUAUGAAGUGGUGCAAGAUGAAGCCGAUGAGUUUGCAAUGAAAGAAGAUGAAGAACCUUGUGAGCUCUUUCGGAGAGUAACCAAACUCGCGGUCUCACUCCGAGAUCAUGGGAGAAAGGACACGGAUGACAAUUGGAUCAAGCGCAAGUUCCUCGAGGCCAUGAUGCCCUACAACAAGUCCAUUUCCUCCAUCAUCCGUCAAAGACCGGAGUUCCACUCCAUGACCUCAAGUGAAGUGUUGGAUGAGUUUGUUGCAAUGAGCAUCUUGGACAAGACCGCCGCCAACGCGGUGCUCCGUUCUCAAAGAACAAAGAAGUCCAAUCUUGCCUUGAAGGCCAAGGUCAUUGUGGAAGAAGAGGAAGAAGAGGAAGAUGAGGAGGGCAAUCCCGAUGAUACAAAGUAUGAUUAUCAUGAGCACAUGGCUCUUGCUUCAAGGCAAUUUUGGAGCAAGAAGAACACAAGGCCCAAUUUCAACAAGAACAAUUCAAGUGGGUUCAAGGGCAAGCAACGAGUGAGAACUUGUUACAAUUGUGGCAAUGUGAGUCACUUUGUUGUGGAUUGUCUUUACGAGAAGCGGGAAGACAAUGGUGGCAAGCUCAUUCAAAAAGACAAAGCCAAGUCCUUCCCCAACAAGAACAACUUCACCAAAAAGACUUCUACUCGAGGGUUAGUGGUCCAAGAAGAAUACCAUGAGUAUGACGAUGAUGAUGAAGAUGGAGAAGCAAUGGCCAUGGCUUCUGUUGCCAUUGCCACAACUCCCCUGGUGUCUCUCUUCGAUUCACCCAACGAGAACAUCACCGCCAAGUGCCUCAUGGCUAAAGCCACUAACAAGGUAACCCCCAACAUGAAAACCACCAUGAUGACUAAUCCCUCCUUGACGGAUUGCAUUGAUGAAAAUGAGGGGUCUAAUGAAGAGAUGAAUGAAUUUCAGUCUUUUAUGAUUAAACUCAAGGGCAAAUCCAAGAAGCACUUUGUUGCUCUCUUGGAACAACUUGGUGAAGCCAAUGACAUGAUCGAGGCUCAUGAAGAAACCAUCUCUAAGAUGGAAGGUCAUAGUAGUGACUAUGCCGAUGAGAUAUCGGAUCUCUCUAAUGCUCUUGAGGAAGAGCAUGGUCAUCGUUUGGCUCUUGAGGAGUCACACAAUGAUGACCAUGCUAAAUUAAAGAAAGAUCUUGAUCAUGCUCUUGUUGUAUCUCGUGUGCUAACUUCCGACAAGGCUAAACUUGGGGUUGACCAUGCUAGACUCAAGGAGGAGUUUGAUAUACUCGACAAGGCCCACAAGGUCUUGAAGGGUGCUCAUGCUAGCCUCAAGGAGUCUCAUGAUCAACUCCAAGUGAAGCUAACCAAAGAAAAGGCCACUUUUCCUCAUAUGGUAUUAAUUGAUAAUGCAAAUGCCACUAACCCGUGUUGUGAGCAUGUGCAUCUUGUGGAGGAGAAUGCCAAGUUAAAGGAGCAAAUUGAGAAAGGCCUUGUGACAUUUAUACAAGGUGAGAAGAACCUCAAUGACCUUUUGAGCAAUCAAAAGGAAGUUGUGGCCAAGGAGGGAAUUGGGUUCGCACCCAAGUCCAAGAACAAGAAGAAGAACGACAAGGCAAAACGACCUCCUCCUCUCAAGAAAACGUUUGUGAAGGAGGGAGAGGGUGCUCCUAAGGAGAAUAAGAACAAUGUGAAUGGUGGUGAUGUCAAAAAGGGCAAAGCCACCUCCUCCAACAAAGCCGGUGACUUUAACCCUUCUUAUGUGUUGUGUCGUGCUAGUGAUGGGCAUGUUUAUGCUAAAUUUGUUGGUUCUUCUUAGGAGUACAUUGAAUAGUCUAUUUGGGUUCCUAAGACCCUUGUUACUAACAUCAAAGGACCCAUUACUAAAUGGGUACCUAACACCAAGCAUUUAUCUCUUGUAGGUGUUUGCUUCUGGUGGGGGAUCAUGGUUGCUCGAUAGUGGAGCAACAAAUCAUAUGACCGGAGCAAGGACUUGGUGGUGGACGUGCACAAGAUCCCAUCUAUGCCCACCAAUGUCGAGUGGAGUGAUGCCUCGUCUUCUAAGGUAUUGGGUCUUGGCAAGGUCGUCAUUUCUCAUGAUCUAACGAUCCAGAAAAUCAUGCUUGUUGAGUCCCUUGCGUACAAUCUACUUUCCGUUCGUCAACUUGCGCUCAUGGGCUUUGCCACUUUAUUUGAUAUUGAUACCGUGGUCCUCUUGUGGAGCAAGACUCUUAAAGUAGCCUUUGUUGGGCAUGUCGAGAAUGGUCUCUAUGUGAUUAACUUUUCGGAGCGACCCACUAAGACCGCGACAUGCCUAAUGGCUAAAGUUGAUGUGGGAUGGUUGUGGCAUCGCCGUUUAGCCCACGUCAAUAUGAGAUCUUUGCAAAGUAUUCUCAAGGGGUACCAUGUCCGUGGACUAACAAAUGUUAGUUUUUCCAAAGAUUGUGCUUGCAGUGCCUGUAUCGAAGGAAAGCUUCAUGAAAAGGCUCACCCUCCCACGACUAUCAUCUACUCGAAGAGACCCUUGGAGCUCCUUAACAUGGAUCUCUUUGGGACUCCAUCCUUUGAUAGUCUUGGGGGUAGAAAGUAUUGCUUGGUGAUUGUGGAUGAUUAUUCGAGGUACACUUGGGUAUUUUUCUUCAAGAGGAAGAGUGAGACUCAACAAACCGUCAUCAACUUUGCAAAUGAAGCUCAACAUCAACAUGAUGCAAAGAUCUUGACAAUAAGAAGUGACAACAGCACCGAGUUCAAGAACUACACCUUGGAUGAGUUUCUUAGUGAUGAGGGGAUCAAACAUCAAUAUGCUGCACCAUAUACCCCUCAACAAAAUGAUGUCGCGGAGAGGAAGAACUAGACGUUGAUAGAUGCGGCAAGGACCAUGAUGGCGGAGUUCAAGUCUCCAUACAACUUUUGGGCUAAAGCCAUCAACACAACAUGUCAUGCAUCCAAUUGGCUCUAUCUCGGCAAAGGCUUGAACAAGACUCCUUAAGAAAUACUUACCGGUAACAAGACCAACCUCAAGUACUUCCGGGUGUUCGGGUGUAAGUGUUUCAUUCUCAAGAAAGGUGUUCGUUUGUCUAAAUUUGAGGCUAGAGCUUAUGAGGGCAUAUUUGUUGGUUAUGCUACAAACUCUCAUGCUUACCGUGUCCUCAACAAGUCCAUCGGACUCAUUGAGGAGACGUGUAACAUAGAGUUUGAUGAUAAUAACAGCUCCCAAGUGGAGCAAAGUGGUACUUGUGAUGUAGGUGAUGAAAUUCCUCCCCAAGCCAUAAGAAGAAUGGAUGUGGGUCAUAUCCUACCCAUUGAGGAACCCCUUGUGGCCGAAAGAGAAGGACAAUGCUCCACUCAAGUGGAGCCAUCACCAACCCAAGACCCACACGCUUCCGAAGAACAAAGUGAAGGCCCUCAAUCUCAUGAACAAGAUCAAGGGCAAGAUCAACCUCAAAAUGGUGGUGAACCUCUAAAUGAUGCCCAAGAUCAAGUUCUCCCUUUCAAGCAAGUUCAAGAUCAAGAGCAAUCUCAAGACGGCGCUCAAGAUGAUCAAGUUUCCCCUCCUCUUUCCACUUCCGAGGAGGAAUUAGAGCGUCGGUUCGCGAAGAUUGCUUCCAAGCUCACCACCAAAGGUCAUCUCAUGGAGAAUGUGGUUGGAAGCCUAAGAAAGGGGGUAAGCACUCAUAGAUAAUUAGCAAACUAUUGUGAACAUCACGCGUUUGUCUCUUGUGUUGAACCCCAAAAGGUCUAUGAGGCGCUCGAAGAUUCGGAUUGGCUCAAUGCCAUGCAUGAAGAACUCAAAAACUUCGAGUACAACAAGGUGUGGAGAUUGGUGCCAAGGCCAUCGGGGAACCACAAUGUCAUUGGAACCAAGUGGAUAUUCAAGAACAUGCAAGAUGCUCAUGGGAACAUCGUUCGCAACAAGGAAAGAUUGGUAGCACAAGGCUAUUCUCAAGUCGAGGGUAUCGACUACGGUCAAACCUUUGCUCCCAUUGCUCGCCUUGAAUCCAUUCGUUUGUUGAUUGCAUAUGCUUCCCAUCACAACCUUAAGUUACAACAAAUGGAUGUGAAGAGUGCUUUUCUUAAUGGCCCUAUUAAUGAGUUGGUUUAUGUCAAGCAAACCCCCGGGUUCGAGGAUCCCUACUUCCCAGAUCAUGUGUAUCAACUUGAUAAGGCACUCUAUGGCCUUAAGAAAUCCCCACGUGCGUGGUAUGACCACCUUACCGAGUUGUUGCAAGAUCGUGGAUUUGAGGUUGGGCAAAUCGAUCCCACUCUUUUUACUAACAAGGUCAAAGGGGAGUUAUUUGUAUGCCAACUAUAUGUUGAUGAUAUUAUCUUUGGUUCCCCUAAAAAAGCUUUCAAUGAGGAAUUUGCCGCUCUCAUGACCUCUAAGUUCAAGAUGUGUUCGAUGGGAGAGUUGAAGUUCUUCCUUCGUUUCGAUAUCAAGCAAAUAAGAGAAGGUACCUUCAUCAACCAGCCAAAUACACUCAAGACAUGUUAAAAAGAUUCAAGCUAAGCGAUGUCAAGUCGUCUUCUACUCCAAUGCCCACCAAGUGCCAACUCGACAUUGAUCCCAAUGGUAAAGCGGUGGAUCAAAAGGUAUAUCGCUCCAUGAUUGGCUCCUUGCUUUACCUUUGUGCAUCUAGACCGGAUAUCAUGUUGAGUGUGGGAAUGUGUGCAUGGUUUCAAGCCGCACCGAAGGAAAGCCACUUUGUGGCGGUCAUGCGAAUCUUCUGAUAGUUGGCUCAUACCCCAAACUUUGGCUUAUGGUACCCAAGAGGAGCAAACUUCAAGCUAGAAGGAUAUACGGAUUCCGAUUGGGCGGGAGACAAAGUGGAUAGGAAGUCCACUUCCGGAGGGUGCCAAUUUCUUGGUUGCUCUUUGGUGAGUUGGUCUUCCAAGAAGCAAAGUUGUGUGUCUCUCUCGUCCACCGAAGCGUAGUAUGUGGCGGCCGGUAGUAGUUGUGCACAACUCUUAUGGAUGAGGCAAACUUUAAAGGAGUACGGUGUCAUUUGUGACAAAGUGCCUCUUUGGUGUGACAAUGAAAGUGCCAUCAAGAUUUCUCUCAACCCGGUGCAACACUUCAAGACAAAGCAUAUUGAGAUUCGGUAUCACUUCAUCCAGGAUCAUAUUAGGUGAGGGGAGAUCGAGCUCAAGUAUGUCAAAACUCAUGAUAACCUUGCAGAUAUUUUCAUGAAGCCCUUGGAUGAAGAAAGAUUUCGUGAGUUAAGGCAUGAGCUAAAUAUCAUUGAUUCAAGCAACGUGACUUGAACCCUUGCACACCCUACCACACUCAAUUUGUUGUCUAGUUUAGGUGUAGGCAUGGACAUAGGGGGAGUAUUGUUCUCUCAAUGAACUCUCCCUCCCCCCAUUAUGCAUAAAUUGAUCAACUCUUUCACAUUCGCCAUUCUUUAUGGUACUUGUGCUUCAAAGACGAGUUUUGGUCAUGGGCCUAAGGAUAAUUCUUCGCGGCGCCAUACCAAUCGACUCAAACAUAGGUGGCUCCGGUCACCGCCCUCUCCUUGGAGAGGUUGGUUCUCGUUUUUUUGUCCUUGUUGUCUCUUGUUUUUUUCUCUCUUCGUGCCUAGCUUGUGCUUGUGGUGCCUAGUUUUGCAGCUCGUUGGUGUGUGUUCAUUCGCUUGGAGGUUUUGUGCAAAGUUGUUUCUUCCUUUGGCUGGAACUGCAUUUUCUUGGGUUCACGGUACUACCGUGGCAUGCCACGGUACUACCUGAGGACACGGUACUACCGCAACCAUCACAGCGGUAAUUUUUAACUGUCGCUGGUGGAGCAGUACUACCGCCCACGGCGCGGUACUUCCGCCCGGGCGGUACUACCGCGAGGACGCGCGUUACUACCAUAGAGUAGCAAGCGCGUUGGGGUUAAGAGCGGGUAGGGGGAGUUAAAACUCCCCCAUACCCAUUAACUCUUUCUUCCCCAUGCCGCCUCUCUCUCUCCUGCCCACGAACUGCGCCGGAUGCCCUCGCCGGAUCUCCGUCCCCGUCCACUCUCCUCGGAUUCCGACUGGUGGGAUUGUUCCCCACCACGUCCCCUUGCCAUGGACCAAGGUUUCUCCCCAAAUCCAUCUCUUGUUGGUUUGUUCUUUUGUUUCUAGGUCUUCGGGGAGAUGCAUGUGGUUCUUGAGAUUUUAGGCUAAAUUUGUCCAAGAGUAGGAUGUCGGGGAGUAGUAAUGCAUUGAGAUAGUACUUGAUAUGUUGCCCCGUGUUUAGUUCCGCACGACCAAGCAGUGCUACCAUUUGUGUCAAAUCUCUCAUGUGGAAAUUAUCAAGUGCGAGUUCUACUUAUUUCCAUGCUUUGUUGCGUUUUUGCACUAAACCUUCUUGUGUCUCUUGCGUGUUUGCUUUGUGGUGUGUGGCUCAGGUGCUCCUGCUCGCCGUUCCAAUCCAAGUCGUGACACGGGCUCCAAGCGUCUGCGCAAUCAACAUGAAGCUCUUGAGGGCUCCAGUGGCCCCCAACGUAGAACCAAGACCACCGCCACAAAGGACACGGAACCCAAUAUGGGUAUGGAUGAGAUACCACUUGCUGAGUUCAUCUCUUGACAGAAGAUCAAUCCCUAUGUGAACCCUUGUGCCAACUUUUGAGGGAAUGAGCUGUUCUGGAGCAAGCAGCAGAAUCUCAUUUAUCUGAAUGUAAUCAAGGCCAAGCGCAACAUCUAUGUGGAUGUGCACUAGAUCGACAUGCAUCACAUGAGGGAAGAGAAGUACCGGGACUACUUUGGUGAGGCUCUGGAUCUUAUUGAGCAGUUUGGCAUUGAGAAUAUCAUCUCUUUUCACAAAGACUAUGAUCCUGAGAUUGUGGCUCAGUUCUUUGCAUUGGUGUACUUUCAUCCUAAUGAGGACCGGACUAUGACUUGGAUGACCAAUGGUCGGCAGCUGACUGCUACAUGGAAGGAGUUCAUGACUUUGCUUGGUGUUCCGAAUGAGGGGCUCACCACACCCCAAGGUGUUCGUCCUCAUGCUAAUCCAGAGUCAGCCAACAAGAAUAAGCUUCAGCCCUUCUUUAUUGAGAAGAAGCUCUCCAGUGGCAAGUCAUCUUGGGUGCUCAACUCAUUCUUGGACAUCAUGUACCGGAUCUUCCACAACUCCCUCUUCCCGCGCAUUGGUGACAAGGACAAGGUGCAUGCUUACCUUGUGGACAUGCUGCUCUAGUGUGAGGAAGCGCGCAACUCUCAGACGCUACCACUUGAUAUCUCACAUAUCAUGUGGUGUGAGCUUCGGUUUGCGGUCUUCAACCGUAAGGUCCCCAUCUAUGGACCUUAUCUGUUUCAAUUGAUCUCAGCUACUUGGGAGAAGCUCUACCCUCAGGAUGACUUUGAGGCCCCUGAUUGGAUUCGGCAUGAGCCCAUCCGGCUCCUUGUCAAGACUCAGUGGGGUAACACCACUUCUCAUGCUGAGGCAGCGGCUGCCAUGGAUGUGGAUGCAGAUGAAGAUGAGGAGGAGUCAGCAGACGAGGAUAGCUCUGAGGGUUUCAUCCCUCCAACCUCUGAGCCAUCUUGGGCUAAGAGGCUGAAGAACAAGAUGAAGACCUUAUUCUGCAUGCAGGCAAAGGGGCGGUACAAGAAUCAUGUUGCCUCCAAGGAGAGUCGCCGCCGCGACAAGAAGAUUAUGAGCCUCUUUGGAGAGGAUGUUUCUGGCGGCUCUGAGGACCGCAUCACUCCAGAGGCUGAGUGGAUCGCAAAACAAGGCUACUAGUGGACUGAUUCUGAGGAGGACGACAAGGAGACCGUUCCCGCUGCCGAGUCUGAGGAGGAGCAUGCGUCUGAUUACUCCGCUUGAGCCACCACUUGUGUUGUAGGUGUCCUCUCUUCAUUUUUGGCGUCUCGAUGCCAAAGGGGGAGAGAGUGUAGGGAUUUGGGAGUCUUGUGUCGUGCGUGUGUUUGCUUUGCUCGCGUUUGUUCCAUUGAACCCUGCUUGCUUUGGUUUAGUUUUCUCAUGAGACCUGGUCUAUCAUAUGGUGUAAGACAUAUGCACCCUAUCGUACCUUACUUGAGCUUAUGUUAUACUGUGCUAGUUAUGUUAUGCUCAUAUUUAUCAUAUUGUCUAGUGUUAGCCUUAUUGUUGCCAAUAUGCCUUGUUUACAAAAUAUAGGGGGAGUGUUGAUCCUAGUAUACGUGUUGUGCAGUCCAAAGCACUUAUCUAGAUAGAACACAUCUAGGGGGAGCUCGUCUAUAUUUUGGAGUUGUGGGGUUUGCAUAUGUUCUAUAUUGUUUCCCUUUGUGCAAAUCCCGUAUUGUCAUCAAUCCACCAAAAAGGGGGAGAUUGUAAGGGCAUAUUUAUCCCUAAGGUGUUUUGGUGAUUGAUGACAAUGCUUUUGCAGACUAAUCAUGUGCCUUGAGUUUCUCAGACAAUUCGUCACUAGGCACAAGAUGGUUUAGUGCCCCUCGAAGACUAUUGAAGACGGCGUUUUUCUACGGUUCUUUUAGGUGGUGUGAGUCAUAGGAAAGCCGUACUAUUAAGAGGGGCUCCGCGUUGGAAAGGUUCGGGUGGAAUCAUCACGUACACAUUUUUAUUCCUUUACACCGCCUUUCCCUCUGCGCUUUGGAGCAUCCUCCAUUUUCUUCAUUUUUUCAAAAAGAAGGAUUCCUAGUGUUGUUGUUCUGAGGCAUGUGGUAGUACUGCUCUUAGGAGCGGUAGUACCACAGGCCCCCACGGUAGUACCACCCGCCGUUGCGGUAGUACCUAGGUGCCCACGGUAGUACUGCUCUUAAGGAGCGGUAGUACCGUGGCCUCGGACCCGACCCAGCCACUCGUGCGGCUGUAGGGGCGGAUGUAAUUUUUCACAUCCGCGCCCCUGCGCGGUAGUACCGCCCCAUGCGCGCGGUAGUACCGUGGGUCCUGAUCUAGCACAGCAACACGAGCGGAAGUAUGGGUGGAUGUAAUUUUUUACAUCUGCUCCCUGCGUGGUAAUACCGCACGUCAGGUGCGUUAGUACCGUGUCGGAUUUUUGCACAAUCUGAUUUUCAGCGGAAGUAGGCACAGAUGUAUUUUUAUUCAUCAGCACCCUUCCCAGGCUAGUCCAUUCUAGCCUUGCGGUAGUACUGCAAGGGGGAGCGGUAGUACCACUCUCAACCCUUGCGGCUCUGGCCUGGACUAACACCUGCAGUAGCAGCGGUAGUACCACGGGACACCGCGAUAGUACCGUGAGCCCUUGCGGUAGUACCGCUUGUUUGGGGCGGUAGUACCGCAAGUCACGGGCUGGCUAAGUGGAUAACGGUUGGAUUUGUCUCUUCACUAUAUAAGGGGUGUCUUCUUCCUCUAGUUGACCACCUCUUCCCCCAAAAGCUCCAUUGUUGCUCCAAGCUCCAUUUUCACCUGAUCUCUCUCCCUAGCCAAUCAAACUUGUUGAUUUGCUCAGGAUUGUUUGAGAAGGCCCCGAUCUACACUCCCACCAAGAGAAAUUUGAUUCCCCCACUAAUCCCUAGCGGAUCUUGUUACUCUUGGGUGUUUGAGCACCCUAGACGGUUGAGGUCACCGCGGAGCCAUAGUCCAUUGUGGUGAAGCUUCGUGGUGUCGUUGGGAGCCUCCAAUUAAGUUGUGGAGAUAGCCCCAACCUUGUUUGUAAAGGUUCGGUCGCCGCCUUCAAGGGCACCAAUAGUGGAAUCACGACAUCUCACAUUGUGUGAGGGCGUGAGGAGAAUACGGUGGCCCUAGUGGCUUCUUGGGGAGCAUUGUGCCUCCACAGCGCUCUAACGGAGACGUACUUCCCCUCAAAAGGAAGGAACUUCGGUAACACAUCCUCGUCUCCAACGGCUCCACUCUUGGUUAUCUCGUGCCUUUACUUGUGCAAGCUUAUUUGUGUUGUAUCCCUUGCUUGGUUGUGCACUUGUUGUUUGUUGCAUCAUAUAGGUUGCUCACCUAGUUGCAUAUCUAGACAACCUACUUUGAUGCAAAGUUUAAUUUGAUAAAGAAAAUCGAAAAAUUGUUAGUUGCCUAUUCACCCCCCUCCUCUAGUCAACUAUAUCGAUCCUUUCACCCUUCUUGCGACAAAAACACAAUGCGGUUAUGUCUCUAAGUCGUGCCUCGACACGUGGGAGAUAUAGCCGCAUCAUGGGCGUUACACCAUGUGAAUAUGAUGGUACCAUGAAUAAGCAUCCAUGAUGCUUACAAGCUCGCACCCUACCCUCGAGUAGACCAGUUGGUCGAUUCCAGGGAGCGGGUAAGUCGUCAUUUGGGCAUGCUUUGUUGAACUCGGUGAAGUCCAUGCACAUGCUCCAUUUUCCAUUUGCCUUCAGGACCAACAUGGGUUGGACAGCCAGUCCGAGUGAUAGACGUGGAGGAUGAUGCCCGCUUACACAAACUUUUCCACCUCGAUCUCGAUGACUCCGAGCCAUUUGGUGACAAUUUGCAUGGCUUUUGCUUGACAGGUGUGUGUUCUAGCUUCAUGGCGAGGCAAUGUUCCUUCACUUCUCGGGGCACUCCUCUCAUGUAGGUUGGUGAUUAGGCGAAGAUAUCCACAUUUUGGCUGUGAAUGGAAACAAGGGAGGCCUCUAUCUCUGGAAGGAGGUCGGAACCGAUUCAGGCUGAGCGUGGGUCGUCUCCGCUAAAGAGGUUAACGCUCUUUAGUUCUCCCUCAGGUUGCGACUUUCAAGCAUAUGCCUUCAUGGCCUCAAUGGUGUCCCCUCUAACAUUGAGACUCCAGCCUUCCUUCCCUAUCCGUCGUUAGCAUGUGGAUGCGAUGAGCAACCACCUUGGGCGGCGAGGUGAGCUUCUCCUACCAGAUUUUGUAGGGUAACUUCGGAGGUAGCUAUCUGUGCUUCCUAGAUGUGGAGUAUCUUUCGGUCGAUGGAUGGCUUGCCCCACACGAUGAUGACUCCUUGAGGCUCGGGGAUCUUCAAGCACAGGUAGUUGUGGUGGACAACGACAUUGAAAUGAUGUAGGGUGGCAUGCCCUAUGACGGCGUUGAAGGAGGGCUCCAGAUCCACCUCAUCAAAGCGGCCCUUUUCCAUGUGAUGAUCGCCUUAUCUCCGAAUAUCAUAAGGAGCUUGAUCUAUCCCAAGGGUUGAAUGGAUCUCUCUGGCAGAAAGCUUGUGAGGGGGGUAAAGAGAAAGCUCCAAAGUGCCUUCUGAGUAUCAGCCUCGAGGUUCUAGAAGCUUCUUUGGCGUGCCCAUGUAUAGGAUAUGUAUCAAGCUUAUGCCAUCGACGAGGAUCCUGGAAAGAUGGCAGUUGUCGAUGGUGGAGGUGAAGAACAAGGCAUCAUCAUGGGGAAAGCAGAUUCCCUUGACAUCUUUUGCAUUGAAUGAGAUGGGGAUCUCAGCCCACUUGGGGCUGGAGUGGGAGCUAGGGCCCGUGCAAUGUCCACUUCACACACAUACUCCUUGUGGGUCCUCUUCAAUCCUUGUCCUGACACUAAGCCUCCGAGGAUGACGUUCACCACAUGCCCUUCUGGCUGAAAAGGGAGCUCAGCGGCUCUCAGGGUGGGUCGGUUCAUGACCACGAUGGCAUUGGCUCCGACCUGUCGAGAGGUGCCCUUUGAGAGGCUAAGGCUUGGUUGUCCUGUGGAGGCCACCCACCCUAAUGUUUGGGUGGAGCACCAAGGUCUGGACAGUCACUGGUCCAAUGGUUUGUGCUCUUGUGGAUCAAGGACCAGGUGGUGUUGGGGUCUAGUGGGUGCCCGUUCUCCCCUGGUCUGUCGAGGGGUGCCAUGCCUAUGGUGGCAUCCUCAAUUGCCAUGUCAUGUUGCCCUAACAGUUGCGCCUUGCUUGUCGAACGACUUUGUCCCUUGCCUCCCUUGUCUUGGCCUUGAGUUUGCCCUUCGUGUGAGAGGGUCUCUGCUCGCUUCUUGCAGCGGUCUCUGUCCUCGCCCCUUGCGCACUCUUCCACCAUGUCAAAGAGGUGCUCUACUAUGCGCGGGGGACGACGGCUGAGGGCCCGGUUUAGCUCUCCCUGCAACAAGGCUUGGCGAAAGGCGUGGAUGACAGUGGAGUCGGGGUAUUAGGUGAUCUGGCUCCUGACCCCCGAGAAUCUUUUGAAGUAAUGGAUGGAGUCUCAUGUCUUCUGUUGAAGGAGGAACAACACACUCGACAUAAGCGGAUGCACGUAGUUUCCUUGAAAGUUGUCCACCGAGGCCUCUUGGAGUCACUCCCAUAAGCAGAUGGAACCCUUCCUCAAGUUGAAGAACCAUGUAUGUGCGAUCCCGGAGAGCCCGAAUGGGAAGAGGUUGCACAUCUCCAUGGGGCCGCCUCCUGCUGCUCAGAUUGUAGUGGGGUACACCUUCGGGAACUACAAAGGAUCGGAGCCCCCGGAGAAAGCCUUGAUGUAGGGUUGCUUAAACUUGAAGGGGAAGGGCGCCUCCCUUAUUUCCGUCAAGAGGGCGUUGCAAGACUCCAUUUGUACUCUAUGGCGACGAUGUCGGUGCCAUGGGAGUCAUCACUUUCUCUGUUGGAAGGCCCCUCGAGAGUGGCUCCACUCUCUCCUGGUGGAGCGACUCCAAGAGGCCUUCGUGGACAACUUUUAUGCAUUAGUCUCUUGUUGGAGGCAUCUCAAAGUACUCCUGACGUGGCCUGAGUGCGCUCAUCAUGCUCCAUGCAGGCUUGGCUUUCCAAAGGUGACUCUCUUGUUCAUCCCCCUAAGGCAAGUGUCUCCUGCCUGCAUUGCUCCCGGCGGCCCUCUUGUGUAUGGCAGGAUCACGGUGAGGCGUGGUCCCCAAUACGGGUGGGGCCAUGGGGCCACGGCAGGCGGAAAAACUGUCGGAGGGUGUAGGCGGCAUAAAGCGGAGGUCCCCAACCGAAGUCAAUUCCCUUGUAGUUCGUCUGGAGUGGUUGUGACGUCGGUGGGGUUUGAGUUGGAUGCUCUCCCAUAUUGUCGGGGGUGAACACCCUGGUCUUGGACCGAUGCCAACAACGUCAUCUUGGAGCUAGGCGAGCCAAGCUCGGAUGGAGUAGAUGUUGACAUCCGGCACACUGACAGCACUUUCAAGUCCAUAUCAAUGGAGCACGGGUCCUGUAUGGCCUUCGGCAGGGCGAAGCUUCCUACAGUGAGGUGGCCUUCGGCCCCCGUACUUAAGGUAGUUCCGGCAUGGGUGCUGAGGUUUUCGGAGUGGUGAAUCCUUUGUUGGGGGCGACGGUGUUUGGGGCUUCCUCGACUACUACGUCAAGGAUGCGGUCACCGUGUGCUUCGGGCUCCAAUGUUGACAUGGAAGAAUCAACUUUCCAAUAGGGUAUCCUUAGUAGCUUUGCCAAAAAUUAGUGUGGGUGUGUACGAGCUUAUGUAAAAGGUUGUCGUACACUCGAUAAAGUGGCACAUCAAUGUUUUUUAGAUAGGUUCAGUCGCCUCAUGGGAACAUAAUCUACGUCCUAUGGGAGGGUUGGCAAGAGUGGUGCCCGAGGCACAACGCACUUGGAGUGUGGCUGUUUUCGAAGUCCCACGACUCCUGACUAGUCCGAGCCUUACAAGGUCCCUCAGACUCCGAGUUGUUGCCUCCGUUUGCCCUCUUGAAGGGGGAUUGGAAGGAGGAGAGUGACCCUCCACUUGAGAGUAUUCAAGUGAGAGUGAGUUGGUUACAUGCCCAUGGGGGCUUUAUAUAGCCUAGGGGUUCUUGACAAAUGACCAAGGGUAGUCUUCAAGUAUAAACGUGGGAGGGUAAAACUAGGUAAUUUUCCGCCCUUUAGUGGGACAAACCCUAAAGCAAGUGAACCCUUCUUUCUUGGGCUCGGGCCCCUUUGCCCUCUUGCCUUCUUCUUUUACUUAUUCUUUUAUGUGGUCUUCUCCCUUUUGACUGACUUUGAUUGAUCAUGGCUAGUGAUGUGUCAUUCCAUGUGGGACAGGGGUGGAACCUUAAGUAGGGUUAAAAUCCACUACCAACAUGUACUGAUAUACUCCGCCUCCAUCUUAUGGUAUCUUAUUUGCCGGAAAAAUAAGGUUGAAACUUAGUGAGCCAUACUAUUGUUAUGUCUCCAUGGCCUCUCCACACCUCAACGGGUUACAAUCAGGGCACAUCACCUUGCCUCUUUUUAUCCAUUUUGGAGCCUCCUUGACCCCAAACUCCUAGAUUUGCUGCACAAUGCGCCUGCUGGUAUCAUCAAAGUAGUCUUCGAGCUUAUCAAAGUACUCCCACCACUAUGCUUAAUCUCCUCAUUCUUCACUAGGAGCAUCAGCUCCGUUGUUGAUGCAUUUGACUUGGUUGAUAUCCCUCAACUUCCUCUUUGGGAUCUUGGUCAUCUUAUAGAUGUCCCUUUCUCCUUAUUUCGUGUCUAAGCACUGGUAAAGGUCCUCAUACACCUGACCUCUUAGGGCCAGUUUUUUUGGUAGCUUUUUUGGGCUUCUAGAAUAAGCUUUAAUUAGUAGGCUUCUAAAAGACAAAUUUGGUUGGGCUUCUAGAAUAAGCUGGGUAGGGGGCAGCUUAUUCUAGAAGCCACCAAAAGAACAGGCCCUUAAUUCACUCACAGCUUGCUUUGCGAUCUUCUUUGCCACCUUGUAUUUCUCUAUGUGUUUUGCACUCCUAUGUAGGUGUAGGUGUCUAAAACAGACUUUCUUCCCUUUAAUAGUCUUCUGGACAUCACUGUUCCACCACAAGGUACCUUUAGCUUUGCUUCUAUACUUUCCCUGGCCACUCCAAACUCCUCUGAAGCCAUCUUAUGAAUGCAAAGUUAUGAGUGAUGUGGAGUUGUGCGUGGGCACUCCUUUGGGCAUUAUGGCACAUUCAAAAUAAAUUAACCAUUGAAGGCAUCUUCACGUCGCAUACGGCUAAUGUUAUCUUCAAAUACAACCUUUUUUACAGUAGUGGAGUUCGUUGAGGAGGCGAAAGGAUUCUGAGUUGAUGCAGCAUGUCCAAGAAAGAUUCAAGCAAGUAUACGCGUUCGCUAGGGAGCCUGCAGCCACCGCCUAGGGAGUGUGGCUACUUUUGUCACCGCGAGCCUGCAUGCUUUGUUUUGGCUUGUUGGUCAUGUAAUGUCCUCUGCCUUUUGGCUUAGAACCUUGUAUGUCUCAUGCGUGGUCCGAGGGGCUUUUGGUCUGAGGACUAUUACUAUUACUCUACCUAGUUGUGGGCUUUAUUAAUUUAAAGCUGGAAGCCUCCGUUCUAAAAAAAUGCAAAAUCGUCAUCUUCGUCUACAUAUUGGUUGCAUCGCCUUCUUCCUCCCAAUGGCCCUCCUUAAUGAUCCUCUCCUUAAAAGUCUGAGCCUUUGUGGUUCUAUCAUUUCAUUCUACUGUCUUUGGUGUGCCUUUCCUGCUGGACACGGUUCUGAAAGCAAAAGUCAGCCAACAUAAGCUUAUGUUCAGGGACAACACUCUCCAUGUAUCACCUACAAUCUAGGCAAGCACGCAUGUCUUCUCUUCUCGAGAGGAUGAAAUCAAUCUAGCUAGAGUGUUGAACACUAUUAAAAGUCACUAGGUACUAUUCUCUCUUUUUAAAGAGGGUGUUAGCCUACGAUCAUGUCGUAGGGUAGAGCAAAGCUUAAGACAUCUUCUCCUUCUUGAUUCUUGAUGCCAUAGCGAAAGCCCCUAUGCACUCCUUCAAAACCUGCGUUAGAUGUACCAUGUGGUCAUUGAGGUCUCUUCCUAUGAAGAGUUUCUCGCCAAUAGGUACACUCUUAGCCAUGUUCUCCAGGCCUUCCCAGAACUCAUUCUUGUUGUUCUCACUAUGGCCUACUUGCAGGACAUAUGCGCUGAUACCAUUGAGACCGAAUUCUCCAGCCACCAUCUUAAUGAGGAUAAUCUGGUCCCCUUGAAUCUUGACGUCUACUAUGCCAUACUUGACUCUUGUUUAUAGUCAAUGUCUUCCACCUCCUUCGCCUUCUAUCCCCUUAUUUGGUUUCCUGGACGCAAAGGAUAUCAACGCAUCUCCUCAUCAUUGUAUCAACUAGCUUCCUCAUGUAACUUACUUGUUAGGGACCUUACGUUCCAGCUACCUAAGUGGAUCUUACUCGGCUCGGCUAGCUUUCUUACCUUUCGCACUCGUCAAGUCAAAUGUGAGGACCCUUGCUCGGCUCAUUUUCACUACACCGAGACAUUGGCUAUUGUGGUCUUCAAAGCUUGCGUCUUAAGGAAUGAGUGGCUACUAUGAUCUUCAAAGCCUAGUAUGGAGAGAGUAAUGGCUACUGGGGUCUUCAGAGCUUUCGUCUUAAAGGUUCAGUAGCUAUUGUGGUCUUCAGAGCUUUCUCCUUAUACAACAUUGCAUGCGAUAAGAAUAAUACUAUUGCGCAAGUGCUCAGCUCAUCCCCGCCAAAUAUUUCGUUCAGGCGGGAUUUGAUCGGCACCCGACUUAUGUCAUGGAAUAAUCUAUUGUCCCGUCUGGAUUCGAUUAUCCUGACACAAGGUCGUGAUGUGUUUCGCUGGAACCUUACUACAUCGGGGUCUUUCACAGUAGACUCUAUGUAUCGUGCACUCACGCAUUCUGAGGUACCAGUGAAUAAUAACAAAAAAAAUUGGAAAGCGAAGGUACCACUUAAAGUCAAAAUAUUCAUGUGGUAUCUCCGUAGGGGAGUUGUGCUAACAAAAGACAACCUUGCACGACGCAACUGGUCGGGAAGUAAGAAGUGUUGUUUUUGUACUCACGACAAGACAAUUAAACACCUCUUUUUUCACUGUAAGUUUGUGCGUUCUACGUGGUCAGCCAUCCAAAUAGCCUCAAAUUUGUAUCCGUCCACAAGUGUUGUCAAUAUUUUUGGUCAUUGGCUGGACGGUAUUUCAAAUAGGUACAAAACACUAAUAAGGGUGGGAGCGUAUGCCUUACUAUGGUCGCUUUGGCUAUGUAGAAAUGAUGUUGUUUUUAAUGACAAAAUUGUUUCUCCUUUGCAGGUUAUUUUCCGUUGUACGCACUCGCUUCGUACGUGGUGUUCGCUACAACAAACGGAGUACCAAUCGUUGUUCAAGGCGGUGUGUACGCUGUUGGAGCAGGUGGCUACGGAGGUUUUUACCCAACGUGGAUGGCAGCAUAAUCUCCGGCUCGGUCCACCAUCUUUUUCGACAUAGGCAUAGUGUCGGUCUAUGAACUCUACUAUCGCCGAAUUGUCGGUCUUUUAUCUUUCUAUUUAUCAGACUACUGAUGUUUGGUUGUGUGCAUCCUAAUUAUGCAGAGGCCGGGUGAUACUCUUAAUGCUUUGUAUCACUUUGAUGCUACAUUUUAAGAUAAUAAAAACGUCAUUUAUCCAAAAAAAAAGGUAUUGUGGUCUACUAAGCCUUGUAUGAUGAGAGCGUUUACACAUGUCUAUUUUAUUUACAAUUGGUCCAGUGCAACUUUUUAUCUCCAACAGACAGCGCCACAACCGAUCUUCAAAGCCUAAUAUGAUGUGCGCAUUUGCAUGUGUCUACUCCCUCUGUACCAGCAACGACAACUAUUUCGGUACAGAGGGAGUAUUUUAUUUUCCAUUGGUCACUGGUCUAAUGCAAUUUUUAAUAUGCCGAGUGCGUUUGCAUAUGUAUUUUCUUUAGAAUUGUCGAGUGCAAUCUUUAAUCCCCUUCCACUGAAAGUGUAUCACCGAAAAUCCUGAUAUAAAUUUAGAAAUAAUGCGAGCACCAGGACUUGAACCCUCAUGGGUUGGGAUACCACUAGGAUAUCACUUCGUUCAUUGUAUUGUCUAUUGUUUUCCUUCAUAAAUAUGGUGUUAUUGUCUAAGAAAAAUAUACCAGAAAAAGGAAAAGCUUGCUCUGAGGCUGUUAUUGUCUUACCAUAGUAGGUGGUUAAACAUUGAGAACACCACACCACACACACGAGAAUUUACACAUGGAGCGUACACAAAGUACACACAUACACACCCAUCACUCGCUAGCAUGCAGUGAGCAGACCGGGAUAAGAAAAGAAAGUUACAAGCACUAGUAGACAGUAGUACGAAGCUCAAGACAAACCACAUGCAGCCUCGGACGGCAACGUACGCUAUGCAGGAUUAGAUAACCAAAAGAGCAGCAAACAUGGCGGCGUCGCAGAAGUUGUUGAGCACCCUCUCUUCUUCUUCGGCCGACGGCUCUUAUUUAGCGGUGGUUGCUCCUGGUCCUGGUCUCGUCGCUGUAAAGCCUGGACAUGGAACGUACGUGGCAGCGUUAUUUUUUUCCCCAUGUUUUAACUAUUUGCCAUGUUCACCCGUUUCAAGUUCCCAGUAGAUCGUGUUAUUAACACUGAUAUUAUAUUGUGAGAUAGAUCAUGAGCCAGCGUACCAGUCGUAGACGGUGGGGGAGUUGGGCUGCGGGCGGUCGAAGAGGUUGGCGCCGAGGCUUUUGGUGGCCAGGUUGCUCCCGGGGUGGAAAACGCUCCGCCACACGCUGCCGCCGCGCGGGGGCGUCGACGACGACGGCGUCACCGGCGUGGUCGGGGUCGUCGGCAUCGACGGCGACUGCUUAAUCGCCUCCCCUGCAGCUGCACCUCCACCAACACCCAUGUAAACCACCAUCAGUUCACACAAUGAACCCAAUAGAUCCUCCGCUUAAACAUCAAAUCUUCUUCUGAAAACCACUGGUGCUAGACUGACCGCUAGUUCUUACGUUCUUCCAGUUUCAGGCCAUGUCGGUACCUCUGUGCUAACGUAUGUAAACUGUACCUG
rnacentral:lncRNA from 1 species